rnacentral:lncRNA from 1 species
UUUUUUUUUUUUUUGUCGACACAGGGGUGUCCGGGUCAAUUCUUACGGGGUCCGACUAAUCCCCUGCUGCCCGGGAGAGGAGGCCCCACUCCACACCGAACACGUUAACAACGGGACUCGAACCUGGACAAGUCAGGAAAAUCGCCAUACCCUAAGGAGAGGGAGCGGACUGCUCGAGUUACCCCGCGAGGGUAAAGACCAGCCACGUAGAGUGGCAAGUUAUGAGAGGCAGGGGUUGAACCCCUGACCUCCAGCAUCCCAAAGAAAGGGAUGACCACUGGACCAAAUGGCCAGUGGCGUGAAGCAAAUAGUCAAUGGUGUGAUUUCUUAAAGUAAUUGUAAAAUGUAACUACAGCUGUGGAUGGAGGAUCUUCGUUUACCAACCAAAAGAGAGGAUCCUAGUCCUAACAAAAGAGAUUCUAGAUAUUAAAUUGUGCUACUUUGUGAAGAUUAAUGAACGGAGUGCAAAAACAAAUUUAAUAAAAUGAAAAAGGAAGUUUGAUGACUUGCCAGCUUGAUCGAGUUAUAUAUUGAACUUGUGUCAGUUUGCUGCCUAAUCUUCAUCUUCAUCUGCAAAAAUUGGUACUCGGGCUUUCUGUUCUUACCAGUUUGGCCCGAUUAGGAGUUGACUGUUUAUUUUUUGGAUUGAUUUGUGUGAUUAGACUUCAUUUCUUGAAUAUUGAUGAGAGCAUCAUCCAAAGGUUGUUAUCCAGCAUUUUUUAUGUUGGUCAAGUGUACAAUUUUCAUUCCAUUGAUUACCUCAAAAUUAACUCCACUUGUAUGUUGAUUCCAUUUUCAUUGUACGGAUGGUCUGGCGGAAUAAGCUGAAAGCAACACAUAUUUUCGUAGAAUUCAGUGAUGAGGGAAAUCAUAUAUAUUCUGUGUAUUUAUAAUCGGUUUGUCUAAUGGGUACCCUAUAGUUAAAAUAUACUUCAUGUGUUAUAUUCUCGAAAAUAUAAGAUUAAUUAGGAGAAGUAAAUAAAUAGAAGAAAGGACAGACAAGAUUAAAUAAGAAAAGUAUAUAAAUGUAAGGGAGGAUAAUAAUUGUUAGUGUGUGUGUGUGUAUAUAUAUAUAUAUAUAUAUAUAUAUAUAUAUUAUAUGAUAGGUUAGAUGAAUGUUAGGUGCAUUAAUGAGUGCCCCAAGGGCAUCUGUUAGAAAAACCCAUUUAUAAUUGAUAGAAAAAGGUUUAUUAAUUUUUAGACUUAAAAAAAAAAGUAAAUCUUAUAUGCACUGAUGGUGUAUACACUAUCACGGUUGGAUAUAUGACACAUAUAUAUAUAUGCAAAAUUUGAGUUUCAAAUUCAAAUUCGAAUUAUGUGUCAUGCAUCUAAUGAUGAAAAUAUAUACAUUGUCAGUGUAUAGAAAAUUAAUCCUAAAAAAAAUUCCAUAUAUAACACAUAUAAAUGCUAAUUAUUGCUAAUUGAGAUUACCAAUCAAUUAAUUGCAUAGAUUAUAGUCAAUUAAAUAUUACAAAUCACCAGACUUAAGAUGGUUUAGAGGAUCCGUGGAAAACAAGAAAUAUCAUGUGUAUUCAAUAUAUUUACAAUCAAUUAAAUUAAAAAUCUCCCCAACACAUUCACAAAUCUUUAAGACACAGAGUUGCCAUGCAUAGAAUAUCACAAUGGACAACUCUUAAUUCAAAUUCAAACGUGAGAGUUCCUCAUGCAUAAUAAAAGCCUAAGUGACAUAGAUUCAUCACUCAGCUGGACCAACAGAGAACUAAUGUAUGGAUCACAAUAACUAGCAAUAAUAACACAAAAUCAGAAGCACCAUUUGGGAAAAGUUGAUGGUUUAUUCCAAGGGACCUCAUUCUUAUUCUGCAUUUUGCUGACCACAGGACCGAAAACAACUGGUGAAAUAAAGCAAUUUCUCGACCAUUCUGGCACUCAACCUUAACUUACAUCACUUCUUCGGAAUCCACAGCAUAGAAUCAUAUACACUCAACAUGCAAAUAAUUGUUUGUAUGCAAAAUAAAUGUCCCUUUUUGUUGACAUUGUUAGGAUCCAAGUACGAAAUAAUCAAUUAUUGAAAAUUUUAAGAACACGGUACUUUAAUGAAACACAAGCCACAAUAUGAAAAUAAAAAUAAUACACAAAAUUUAAUGUGUUCGACCCUAUCACCAAACUAAUACCAACGUGGAGAAAAAAAAAAUCUCUAUAUAAAAAUACAACAUGAACCUCAAAUCCAAGUACCAGUAAUAAAAGAAAUAACUUAUUGAAUUUCCACACCUACAAAAUAGGAAGUUCCUUGUUACUAUACGAGAUAAAUGGAAAUAGUGAUAAACUAUUUGCUUGAAGCACAAAAUAAAACUGCCUAAUAAGAAUAAAACUCAUAUACAAAGAAUACAACUUGAACUCCAAACCAAAAUAAUAAAAGGAAAUAACUUACCUAACUCUCACACUCAUAUAAUAUAGGAAAUUCCGUGCUACUAGAGAGAGGACCCAGUGCGGUUGGAGUUUGAUAUGGUUCAAUCCGGUUAUUGUACUAUUUUAUAUUAUUUGGUGUAUAAUUACAUUGUAUUAUUGUAUUCGAAAUAAAAGUGGUGUCUAUGAAUAAAAUAUUUAACAUAUAUUUAGUACUAUAUUAUCAUGUACAUCAAAACUUUGAACAUAUACAAUUAUUGAAUGAAACUGCACAAAAUACAAAUUGUAAUAAGUAAUUGUCCGUGCUACUAUAUCAAGUGAAUAGAAAUUUCUAUAAGCUAUUUGCUAUCCACUCAAAGUAAAACUAAAACGAAAGUAAGGCAAAUUUCCUAACAGCCACAUGCAUAUAAAUAGCUACUAUUUCUCCUGAAAUGAACAUGCUAUACGGAACACCUCUUCAACAGUGUCUAGCAAUUUUCUUCAAAGGCUUUUUCUUUUUUAACGUUUUGUAUCCAAAACGUAAAGAUGAUAGGGUUGGGAGAUGUCUACAAGGUGGUUGCAGCCAUGUUUCCACUCUAUGUAGCAUUGGUUUUAGGGUAUGGUUCUGUGAAGUGGUGGCGAUUGUUUACACCAGAACAAUGUGAUGCUAUAAAUCGCUUUGUCGCUUAUUUCACCCUACCCCUUUUCAUCUUUGAAUUCACAGCCCAUGUCGAUCCUUUCAAGAUGAACUAUCCCUUUGUUGCUGCUGAUGCAAUUUCAAAGGUGAUCAUUGUGGUGGUUCUGGCAUUUUGGGCAAAGUUUAGUAGCAAGGGAAGUUAUUGUUGGUCCAUAACAGGCUUCUCUUUAUCUACAUUAACAAAUUCCCUUGUUGUGGGAGUGCCUAUUGCCAGAGGCAUGUAUGGCCAGUCUGCUGUUGAUCUUGUUGUCCAAGGAUCAGUCGUACAGGCUAUUGUAUGGCUAACAAUUCUGUUGCUGGUUUUAGAGAUUAGACGGACUCAAACCGACUUUUAUUCCAGUGAUGAAACUGUGGGAGAUUCAAAGGCGGCUGACAAUUCUGUAAAAGAUUUGGAAGCAAAUUCAAGGGCUUUAGCAGAGACUAAACCAUCUUUUUGGUCAUUAGUGAAGAGGGUGUGGCAAAAGCUUGCCAUGAAUCCCAACUCUUAUGCUUGUAUCGUUGGCAUCACUUGGGCAUUAAUAGCCAACAGGUAUGUUUGACAUGCAAGACUUUUUUCAUUCAGAAUAUUUGAGUGUUUAGUUAUUUCUUUUACCCCUCAUGCAUCAAACUCGCGGAUCAAGAAUUUCAAUGAAUAACAAACUAAAAUUCUACCUUGUUCGUAAUUUUAGGUGGCAUUUUCAAAUGCCAGCUAUUAUGGAAGAUUCCAUAUUGAUAAUGUCAAGAGCUGGAACUGGAACUGCCAUGUUCAGCAUGGGUAAGCGCAAGCAUGCUCUUAUUUUUUUCCCCUUUUGGUACAUUAAUCACCCACUUUAACGUGCAUACAUAGUUAGGAUGUUACAUUAAAGUAUUCUUUUUAUGCACUAAUAGUGUAAGAAUUUCAAUAUACUACUGGGAUUAAAUAUAUACCACAUAUAUUUUUUUAUUUAAAUUUGAAAUUUAUUUUGUUGUGCACGUAACAUGCAUCUAAACCUACUAAUGUUAAAAAAAAAAAAAAUUAACACUGAUAGCGCAUAAAAUGCAGAAACAAUUAAUGACAGCUUUUAUAUGUUGUAGGGUUGUUCAUGGCUUUGCAAGAGAAAAUAGUUGCCUGUGGUACAAGCCUGACUAUUUUUGGAAUGGUUUUAAGGUUCAUUGCUGGACCAGCUGCAAUGGCAAUUGGUUCCAUAGCAGUAGGGUUGCAUGGAGAUGUUUUGCGUGUUGCUAUAAUUCAGGUAACUGUACGUCCAACAAUUCUUGUUACUUCUCGGUCAUAUUUUCUUGCUUUUUGAAUCAGCUAACAAAAAGUUCCGUUUUCCAUAGUUAUUAUGAGAGAACGCAAAUGGCCUCCUCCAUACAAUAAGUACUCAUGAACCAUCUAACUAUGAAUGAUGCAGAACCGUAUGAAAAUGUACAUUCACAUACUGACGACAACAAUAAGUUAGUAUAUAUAUGUCCCGACUUGUGAGUUAAUCAUGUUGAGCCGCAAGGUUUGACCUUGUGUGGCAAAAUUCUUCGUCCCACAUCAGAUGCUGCGUAAGGAAGUUUUCUUCCUUUCAUCCCACAUCGCAGCAGACAGCAGGAAGGCUUCAUUGGAGAGCCUAUAAAUAGAAGGGAUUUAUGAAGGAAUUAAUUGCACCACUUAAGAGAGUUAUAUGGGCUAUUAGCUUCUUAAGUUAUUUAGCCCAUUCAGUCAAAUAUUUUAGGCUCUCUUAUUUUGAGUUUAGGAAUAUUUUCUAAACUCUUUUGUAAGUGCCUAUUGGCCUAGGAACCACUUUCCUACGGUCUUUUGUAUUUCUUCUUCAUAGUAGAAAUAUUGCUCCUCCCUCGCCCGUGGACGUAGGUCAAUUUGACCGAACCACGUAAAUCUUUUGUGUCUUUUAUUUGCUUUGUUAUCCGUCUUUAUAUGGUCGGUUUUACCGCCUAAUUAUUAUAUGGCUGGUAUCUACCGCCUAUCUAUUAUAUGGUCGGUUAUACCGCCUACUUUGUGCUAACUUGAGUUUGUCUAUUCCUGGCCCGGUCCUAACAAACUGGUAUCAGAGCUGGUUGUUAUAUUUUGCAAGACAGGUUCAUCUGGUGGGGCCCAUUCAUCUGGUGGGGUCCGUCCAUCCUGUGGGGCCCACUCAUCCUGUGGGGUCCGUUUAUCCGUGGGGCCCGCUCACCUUGUGGGGUCCUUUCAUCCCGUGGGGCCCGCCUAUCUCGUGGGGCCCGCUCACCCUGUGGGGCCCGCUCACGAGACUUGCAUAUUUGUUUGGCCAGUUUUUUGAGACAAACUUCAAGUUACAGAAUUUGUGGCAACAAUGACGAUAACAAAGACGGUUGUCGAGAAAUUCGACAGGAAUGUCAACUUCGGAAUGUGGCAGCUCAAGAUGGAGGCCAUUCUUGUUCAAAACGGAGUUGAUCUAGCGAUUCACGGAAUCGAGAACAAACCAGAAGAUGUCAAGGAUGCGGAUUUCGCCGAUAUGGAUAAGAAGGCCAGAUCCAGCAUAAUCUUAAACCUCUCCGAUGAGGUAUUGCGUGAGGUAGCAACGGAGACUUCGGCCAAGGCUAUGUGGGAUAAAUUGAAAGCCUUGUAUAUGAAGAAGACAGUCGAAAAUCGGCUAUAUUUGAAGCAGAGUUUGUACAUGCUUCGGAUGUCUGAAGGUACAUCUAUACUCUCCCAUCUUGAUAAAUUUGAUUCCAUUAUUAUGGAUUUGGGGAAUAUAGAUUCGAAAAUUGAUGAUGAAGAUCAAGCCCUAUUACUUUUGUGUUCCCUUCCCCAGUCUUUUAAGCAUUUCCGCGAUACUAUGAUUUAUGGAAAGGAAACAAUUUCGUAUCGGGAAAUUAAAUCUGCAUUAAAAUCUAAAGAGCAGAUAGAUAGGGAUAUUACUGGGGAAACUAGUGGGAGUCAAGCCGAUGGCUUGUUUGUUCGGGGUAGAUCUGAAAAGAGAAACACAGAAAAUAGAAGUAGAUCCAAAUCCAGACAUAAAAAUGUGGUGUGCAAUUAUUGUAAAAAGAAGGGCCAUGUUAUCUCUGAUUGCUUUAAAUUGAAAAAUAAAGAAAAGCAAAAAGGGAAAUUUGUUGAGAAAAAUACUGAAUCCGCUGAGGCUAGUAUAGCAGCUGAUGAGAAUGAUGGAACCAUUUUCUGUGCAACGGAAAAUAAUUUUAGGUCUAACAAUGAGUGGAUUUUAGAUUCGGGUUGUUCAUAUCAUAUGUGUCCCAAUAGGGACUGGUUUUCAACAUAUGAAUCAGCUGAAGGUGGAGUUGUCUUAAUGGGCAACAACGCUGUUUGUAAAGUUGUUGGCAAAGGCACAAUCCGGAUUAAAAUGUACGAUGGUAUUGUGAGGACGCUCACAGAUGUUAGACAUGUUCCAGAUUUGAAGAAAAAUCUCAUCUCUUUGGGCACUCUUGAGUCUAUUGGGUGCAGGUAUUCAGGUGGAGACGGAGUUCUCAAAAUUACUCGAGGAGCUCUUGUUGUUAUGAAGGCACACAGAUCUGGUACUUUGUAUAUUUUGCAGGGAUCUACUGUUAUAGGUGCUGCUGCUGUUUCAACAUCAUCUUUGUCAGAUACAGACAUCACCAAAUUAUGGCAUAUGCGUUUGGGGCACAUGAGCGAAAAAGGCUUAGGCAUACUAAGCAAAAAGGGACUUCUUUGUGGUCAAAGUACCGGGCCAUUGGAAUUUUGUGAACAUUGUAUUUUUGGGAAGCAGAAAAGAGUCAGCUUCAGUUCACCAGCAAUUCACAAGACAAAAGGUACUCUCGAUUACAUUCAUUCAGAUCUAUGGGGUCCUUCUCGUGCUCCUUCUAAAGGUGGUGCCAGGUACAUGUUGACUUUCAUUGAUGAUUAUUCAAGGAAAGUUUGGGUAUAUUUUCUUAAGCAUAAAAAUGAUGUUUUCCUAACUUUCAAGCAAUGGAAAGUUUUGAUUGAGAAGCAAACAGGAAAACACAUUAAGCGGUUGAGAACAGAUAAUGGCAUGGAAUUUUGUGGAGGUGAAUUUAAUGAAUUCUGCAAGAAUGAAGGAAUUGUUCGGCAUCACACCGUCAGGAUGACGCCUCAACAAAAUGGUGUGGCCGAACGUAUGAACAGAACUCUUUUGGAGAGAGCAAGAUGUAUGAUCUCCAAUGCAGGGUUGACAAACGACUUUUGGGCAGAGGCGAUCAAUAUGGCCUGUUAUAUUGUCAACCGUUCUCCUUCUGCAUCUCUUGAUUUCAAAACUCCUGAGGAAGUUUGGUCAGGUACUCCUGCUGAUUACUCCAAUUUAAAAGUUUUUGGGUGUCCAGCAUACAUGCACGUGAAUGAUGGAAAAUUGGAGCCUAGGGCUAAAAAGUGCAUUUUUCUUGGGUAUGCUUCUGGGGUGAAAGGAUACAGAUUAUGGUGUCCUGAUCCCAAAUUCCCAAAAUUUGUAAUCAGUAGAGAUGUUACUUUUGAUGAAUUGUCUAUGUUAUCUUCCAAGAAGGAGUCUUCUAGUCCUUGUACUACUGAUAGUACACAGAAGCAGGUGGAGCUUGAUAUUGGCAGUUCUGGUCCUUCUCAGACCAAAUCUUCUAUUCAACAAAUGCCAGUAGAUGCACCUGAGUCUACUGUGGAAGAUAGUUCAGAAGAAGAGGAAUAUUCCAUAGCCAGAGAUAGACAAAGGAGAGACAUUCGACCACCACAAAGAUAUGCAAAUUUAGUUGCAUAUGCUUUGUCUGUUGCAGAAGAAACUGAUGCAGUUGGUGAGCCUUCCACCUAUUCAGAAGCAGUUUCUUGUGAUGACUCUGCAAAGUGGUUGAUUGCGAUGAAUGAAGAAAUUGAAUCUCUUCAUCGUAAUGAAACUUGGGUUCUUGUAAAGCCGCCGUCAGCUAAGAAAAUUGUUGGUUGCAAGUGGGUUUUCAAGAAAAAGGAAGGUAUUCCAGGGGUUGAAGAUGCAAGAUAUAAAGCACGAUUGGUUGCAAAGGGCUAUAGUCAGGUACAAGGUGUUGAUUUUAAUGAUAUAUUCUUACCUGUUGUUAAACAUAGCUCUAUUCGUGUUUUGCUUGCUUUAGUUGCCAUGUAUAAUUUGGAGUUAGAACAGCUUGACGUUAAGACAGCUUUCUUACAUGGCGAACUUGAAGAACAAAUUUAUAUGCAACAACCCCAGGGUUUUGAAAUUGAAGGUAAGGAAGACCAUGUUUGCUUAUUGAAGAAAUCCUUAUAUGGAUUGAAACAGUCUCCAAGACAAUGGUAUAAAAGGUUUGAUUCCUUUAUGUUGGGUCAUGGUUAUUUGAGGAGCAUGUAUGAUAGUUGUGUUUACUUCCGAAAGUUAAAUGAUGGUUCUUUCAUUUAUUUGCUGCUUUAUGUUGAUGACAUGCUCAUUGCUGCCAAGAAUUUGUCAGAAAUUCACACUUUGAAACUGCAGUUAAAUAGUGAAUUUGAAAUGAAAGAUUUGGGAGCAGCUAAGAAAAUUCUUGGCAUGGAUAUCAAGCGAGAUCGAGGAGUAGGGAAGUUGUUCUUGACCCAGAAAAAUUACCUUGAGAAAGUUUUGGAGCGUUUUGGCAUGAAAGAUGCUAAACCAGUAUCUACUCCUCUUGCUAGCCAUUUUCGGCUAUCUGCUGCUCAAUCACCAAAAUCAGAUGAAGAGGAAGAUUAUAUGGCACGGGUUCCUUAUUCCAGUGCAGUCGGCAGUAUUAUGUAUGCAAUGGUUUGUACUCGUUCCGAUAUUGCACAAGCAGUCAGUGUUGUUAGCAGAUAUAUGUCUUGCCCUGGAAAAGCACAUUGGCAGGCUGUGAAGUGGAUUCUCAGAUACUUGCGAGGUACUUCAAAUGCAUGUUUGGAGUUUGGAAGAAAUAAUAACACUUUGGUUGGUUUUGUAGACUCAGACUACGCUGGAGAUCUUGACAGGAGAAGAUCACUUUCAGGCUAUGUAUUUUGCAUUGGCGGUUGUGCUGUUAGUUGGAAAGCUACUCUACAACCUGUCGUAGCUUUGUCUACUACUGAAGCAGAAUAUAUGGCUGUGACCGAGGCAAUCAAAGAAGCCUUGUGGUUGAAGAGUUUAUUUAGCGAGCUAAGUCUAUAUCAAGGUGUUACUGAUAUUCACUGUGAUAGUCAAAGUGCCAUACACUUGACUAAAGAUCAGAUGUAUCAUGAGAGGACGAAACACAUUGAUGUGAAGUAUCACUUCAUUCGGGAUAUCAUUGCUGAGGGAAAAGUCCUUAUUCAGAAAAUCAAUACUAAGGAUAAUCCAGCCGAUAUGUUUACGAAACCUCUUCCAGUCUACAAGUUCAAGCAGUGCUUGGAUUUGGUUGGUGUUCGUUGUUUGUGAUUUAAAGUCCAUUGGGGCUUAUGUGGAGAAGGUGGAGCAGUUUUUUUGGUGGGACUCAAAAUUAUGCCAAGGUGGAGAUUUGUUGAGCCGCAAGGUUUGACCUUGUGUGGCAAAAUUCUUCGUCCCACAUCAGAUGCUGCGUAAGGAAGUUUUCUUCCUUUCAUCCCACAUCGCAGCAGACAGCAGGAAGGCUUCAUUGGAGAGCCUAUAAAUAGAAGGGAUUUAUGAAGGAAUUAAUUGCACCACUUAAGAGAGUUAUAUGGGCUAUUAGCUUCUUAAGUUAUUUAGCCCAUUCAGUCAAAUAUUUUAGGCUCUCUUAUUUUGAGUUUAGGAAUAUUUUCUAAACUCUUUUGUAAGUGCCUAUUGGCCUAGGAACCACUUUCCUACGGUCUUUUGUAUUUCUUCUUCAUAGUAGAAAUAUUGCUCCUCCCUCGCCCGUGGACGUAGGUCAAUUUGACCGAACCACGUAAAUCUUUUGUGUCUUUUAUUUGCUUUGUUAUCCGUCUUUAUAUGGUCGGUUUUACCGCCUAAUUAUUAUAUGGCUGGUAUCUACCGCCUAUCUAUUAUAUGGUCGGUUAUACCGCCUACUUUGUGCUAACUUGAGUUUGUCUAUUCCUGGCCCGGUCCUAACAAACUGGUAUCAGAGCUGGUUGUUAUAUUUUGCAAGACAGGUUCAUCUGGUGGGGCCCAUUCAUCUGGUGGGGUCCGUCCAUCCUGUGGGGCCCACUCAUCCUGUGGGGUCCGUUUAUCCGUGGGGCCCGCUCACCUUGUGGGGUCCUUUCAUCCCGUGGGGCCCGCCUAUCUCGUGGGGCCCGCUCACCCUGUGGGGCCCGCUCACGAGACUUGCAUAUUUGUUUGGCCAGUUUUUUGAGACAAACUUCAAGUUACAGAAUUUGUGGCAACAAUGACGAUAACAAAGACGGUUGUCGAGAAAUUCGACAGGAAUGUCAACUUCGGAAUGUGGCAGCUCAAGAUGGAGGCCAUUCUUGUUCAAGACGGAGUUGAUCUAGCGAUUCACGGAAUCGAGAACAAACCAGAAGAUGUCAAGGAUGCGGAUUUCGCCGAUAUGGAUAAGAAGGCCAGAUCCAGCAUAAUCUUAAACCUCUCCGAUGAGGUAUUGCGUGAGGUAGCAACGGAGACUUCGGCCAAGGCUAUGUGGGAUAAAUUGAAAGCCUUGUAUAUGAAGAAGACAGUCGAAAAUCGGCUAUAUUUGAAGCAGAGUUUGUACAUGCUUCGGAUGUCUGAAGGUACAUCUAUACUCUCCCAUCUUGAUAAAUUUGAUUCCAUUAUUAUGGAUUUGGGGAAUAUAGAUUCGAAAAUUGAUGAUGAAGAUCAAGCCCUAUUACUUUUGUGUUCCCUUCCCCAGUCUUUUAAGCAUUUCCGCGAUACUAUGAUUUAUGGAAAGGAAACAAUUUCGUAUCGGGAAAUUAAAUCUGCAUUAAAAUCUAAAGAGCAGAUAGAUAGGGACAUUACUGGGGAAACUAGUGGGAGUCAAGCCGAUGGCUUGUUUGUUCGGGGUAGAUCUGAAAAGAGAAACACAGAAAAUAGAAGUAGAUCCAAAUCCAGACAUAAAAAUGUGGUGUGCAAUUAUUGUAAAAAGAAGGGCCAUGUUAUCUCUGAUUGCUUUAAAUUGAAAAAUAAAGAAAAGCAAAAAGGGAAAUUUGUUGAGAAAAAUACUGAAUCCGCUGAGGCUAGUAUAGCAGCUGAUGAGAAUGAUGGAACCAUUUUCUGUGCAACGGAAAAUAAUUUUAGGUCUAACAAUGAGUGGAUUUUAGAUUCGGGUUGUUCAUAUCAUAUGUGUCCCAAUAGGGACUGGUUUUCAACAUAUGAAUCAGCUGAAGGUGGAGUUGUCUUAAUGGGCAACAACGCUGUUUGUAAAGUUGUUGGCAAAGGCACAAUCCGGAUUAAAAUGUACGAUGGUAUUGUGAGGACGCUCACAGAUGUUAGACAUGUUCCAGAUUUGAAGAAAAAUCUCAUCUCUUUGGGCACUCUUGAGUCUAUUGGGUGCAGGUAUUCAGGUGGAGACGGAGUUCUCAAAAUUACUCGAGGAGCUCUUGUUGUUAUGAAGGCACACAGAUCUGGUACUUUGUAUAUUUUGCAGGGAUCUACUGUUAUAGGUGCUGCUGCUGUUUCAACAUCAUCUUUGUCAGAUACAGACAUCACCAAAUUAUGGCAUAUGCGUUUGGGGCACAUGAGCGAAAAAGGCUUAGGCAUACUAAGCAAAAAGGGACUUCUUUGUGGUCAAAGUACCGGGCCAUUGGAAUUUUGUGAACAUUGUAUUUUUGGGAAGCAGAAAAGAGUCAGCUUCAGUUCACCAGCAAUUCACAAGACAAAAGGUACUCUCGAUUACAUUCAUUCAGAUCUAUGGGGUCCUUCUCGUGCUCCUUCUAAAGGUGGUGCCAGGUACAUGUUGACUUUCAUUGAUGAUUAUUCAAGGAAAGUUUGGGUAUAUUUUCUUAAGCAUAAAAAUGAUGUUUUCCUAACUUUCAAGCAAUGGAAAGUUUUGAUUGAGAAGCAAACAGGAAAACACAUUAAGCGGUUGAGAACAGAUAAUGGCAUGGAAUUUUGUGGAGGUGAAUUUAAUGAAUUCUGCAAGAAUGAAGGAAUUGUUCGGCAUCACACCGUCAGGAUGACGCCUCAACAAAAUGGUGUGGCCGAACGUAUGAACAGAACUCUUUUGGAGAGAGCAAGAUGUAUGAUCUCCAAUGCAGGGUUGACAAACGACUUUUGGGCAGAGGCGAUCAAUAUGGCCUGUUAUAUUGUCAACCGUUCUCCUUCUGCAUCUCUUGAUUUCAAAACUCCUGAGGAAGUUUGGUCAGGUACUCCUGCUGAUUACUCCAAUUUAAAAGUUUUUGGGUGUCCAGCAUACAUGCACGUGAAUGAUGGAAAAUUGGAGCCUAGGGCUAAAAAGUGCAUUUUUCUUGGGUAUGCUUCUGGGGUGAAAGGAUACAGAUUAUGGUGUCCUGAUCCCAAAUUCCCAAAAUUUGUAAUCAGUAGAGAUGUUACUUUUGAUGAAUUGUCUAUGUUAUCUUCCAAGAAGGAGUCUUCUAGUCCUUGUACUACUGAUAGUACACAGAAGCAGGUGGAGCUUGAUAUUGGCAGUUCUGGUCCUUCUCAGACCAAAUCUUCUAUUCAACAAAUGCCAGUAGAUGCACCUGAGUCUACUGUGGAAGAUAGUUCAGAAGAAGAGGAAUAUUCCAUAGCCAGAGAUAGACAAAGGAGAGACAUUCGACCACCACAAAGAUAUGCAAAUUUAGUUGCAUAUGCUUUGUCUGUUGCAGAAGAAACUGAUGCAGUUGGUGAGCCUUCCACCUAUUCAGAAGCAGUUUCUUGUGAUGACUCUGCAAAGUGGUUGAUUGCGAUGAAUGAAGAAAUUGAAUCUCUUCAUCGUAAUGAAACUUGGGUUCUUGUAAAGCCGCCGUCAGCUAAGAAAAUUGUUGGUUGCAAGUGGGUUUUCAAGAAAAAGGAAGGUAUUCCAGGGGUUGAAGAUGCAAGAUAUAAAGCACGAUUGGUUGCAAAGGGCUAUAGUCAGGUACAAGGUGUUGAUUUUAAUGAUAUAUUCUUACCUGUUGUUAAACAUAGCUCUAUUCGUGUUUUGCUUGCUUUAGUUGCCAUGUAUAAUUUGGAGUUAGAACAGCUUGACGUUAAGACAGCUUUCUUACAUGGCGAACUUGAAGAACAAAUUUAUAUGCAACAACCCCAGGGUUUUGAAAUUGAAGGUAAGGAAGACCAUGUUUGCUUAUUGAAGAAAUCCUUAUAUGGAUUGAAACAGUCUCCAAGACAAUGGUAUAAAAGGUUUGAUUCCUUUAUGUUGGGUCAUGGUUAUUUGAGGAGCAUGUAUGAUAGUUGUGUUUACUUCCGAAAGUUAAAUGAUGGUUCUUUCAUUUAUUUGCUGCUUUAUGUUGAUGACAUGCUCAUUGCUGCCAAGAAUUUGUCAGAAAUUCACACUUUGAAACUGCAGUUAAAUAGUGAAUUUGAAAUGAAAGAUUUGGGAGCAGCUAAGAAAAUUCUUGGCAUGGAUAUCAAGCGAGAUCGAGGAGUAGGGAAGUUGUUCUUGACCCAGAAAAAUUACCUUGAGAAAGUUUUGGAGCGUUUUGGCAUGAAAGAUGCUAAACCAGUAUCUACUCCUCUUGCUAGCCAUUUUCGGCUAUCUGCUGCUCAAUCACCAAAAUCAGAUGAAGAGGAAGAUUAUAUGGCACGGGUUCCUUAUUCCAGUGCAGUCGGCAGUAUUAUGUAUGCAAUGGUUUGUACUCGUUCCGAUAUUGCACAAGCAGUCAGUGUUGUUAGCAGAUAUAUGUCUUGCCCUGGAAAAGCACAUUGGCAGGCUGUGAAGUGGAUUCUCAGAUACUUGCGAGGUACUUCAAAUGCAUGUUUGGAGUUUGGAAGAAAUAAUAACACUUUGGUUGGUUUUGUAGACUCAGACUACGCUGGAGAUCUUGACAGGAGAAGAUCACUUUCAGGCUAUGUAUUUUGCAUUGGCGGUUGUGCUGUUAGUUGGAAAGCUACUCUACAACCUGUCGUAGCUUUGUCUACUACUGAAGCAGAAUAUAUGGCUGUGACCGAGGCAAUCAAAGAAGCCUUGUGGUUGAAGAGUUUAUUUAGCGAGCUAAGUCUAUAUCAAGGUGUUACUGAUAUUCACUGUGAUAGUCAAAGUGCCAUACACUUGACUAAAGAUCAGAUGUAUCAUGAGAGGACGAAACACAUUGAUGUGAAGUAUCACUUCAUUCGGGAUAUCAUUGCUGAGGGAAAAGUCCUUAUUCAGAAAAUCAAUACUAAGGAUAAUCCAGCCGAUAUGUUUACGAAACCUCUUCCAGUCUACAAGUUCAAGCAGUGCUUGGAUUUGGUUGGUGUUCGUUGUUUGUGAUUUAAAGUCCAUUGGGGCUUAUGUGGAGAAGGUGGAGCAGUUUUUUUGGUGGGACUCAAAAUUAUGCCAAGGUGGAGAUUUGUUGAGCCGCAAGGUUUGACCUUGUGUGGCAAAAUUCUUCGUCCCACAUCAGAUGCUGCGUAAGGAAGUUUUCUUCCUUUCAUCCCACAUCGCAGCAGACAGCAGGAAGGCUUCAUUGGAGAGCCUAUAAAUAGAAGGGAUUUAUGAAGGAAUUAAUUGCACCACUUAAGAGAGUUAUAUGGGCUAUUAGCUUCUUAAGUUAUUUAGCCCAUUCAGUCAAAUAUUUUAGGCUCUCUUAUUUUGAGUUUAGGAAUAUUUUCUAAACUCUUUUGUAAGUGCCUAUUGGCCUAGGAACCACUUUCCUACGGUCUUUUGUAUUUCUUCUUCAUAGUAGAAAUAUUGCUCCUCCCUCGCCCGUGGACGUAGGUCAAUUUGACCGAACCACGUAAAUCUUUUGUGUCUUUUAUUUGCUUUGUUAUCCGUCUUUAUAUGGUCGGUUUUACCGCCUAAUUAUUAUAUGGCUGGUAUCUACCGCCUAUCUAUUAUAUGGUCGGUUAUACCGCCUACUUUGUGCUAACUUGAGUUUGUCUAUUCCUGGCCCGGUCCUAACAAAUCAUCCCACCUUUAUGUGGAUUAAUAGUUAUUUAACCCAUCAUUAUGAACAAAAAUUUCAUUCAUAUGUUGAACAGUUCCCUCCCCCCCACACAAAAACAACAAUGGAAAGUAUCACUUGUAUAUUGCCAUCAAGAGCAACUAUCAAGAAUUAAUCUUUCGUGACUUGCUCAAAAUAAUGGCUACAAAGGCUAGUUUUUGCUUAGAUUCUCCUAAUAACAAGUGGGGAUGUUUGAAGUGUAUACAUUUAUUUAUUUAUUGGCCUCUCUGUUAUUAGAACUUGGACAAACCAUUUUCCUUCUUCCAAACUUUCUGGCUGAUCAUAAGGGUUUUCAAUUUUUAUUAUUUAGCGGUAACUCCAGCUUAGAGCAUCUGUUUUUCCUUCUAUUCAUGGGGUUAUAUAUAAUGGUUCAAUUUGCAGGCCGCGGUGCCACAAUCGAUCACCUCCUUCAUUUUUGCCAAAGAAUAUGGUCUUCACGCGGACGUCCUCAGCACUGCGUAAGUAUAACACGCAAAAAGAUAAAAGAAUAUAUGCUUUUUGCAGAUUAAACGUUUUCCAGUAAUAUUAUUGAAUCUUCUCUAAUUUGCAAAAUUAUUUUCAGGGUAAUCUUCGGCAUGAUCGUGGCCCUCCCGGUGAUGGUUGGAUAUUAUGCGAUAUUGGAGUUUUUACAUUGACCAACGUUGUAUCUCCCUAAUAAAUUUAACACAUAAACAUUGGGAUUUUCUUUGUUAAUUCUUCCCAAAAGGAGGAGAUGCAAUUUUUUUUCUCCUCAAAUGUUUACCGGGACUUUAAUCUAAUGACAACCAGAUCGAAACGGUGUUUGUUCGUACUACUUUUUAAUUUGUUCUUUCUUAUAAUUUAUAUUUCUCUCAUUCUCAAAUGUUUACCGGGAUUUUAUAAAAUCUGAUUAUAGAAACUGAUUAUAGAGAAUAAUCAAAACCAAUAAAAGUUACUCUUUGCAUGAUUAUAGAUUUUAAAUUUUUUAGUUAUUAAAAAAUCUAUAAUUAAAAUAUAAAAGCAAUCGAGAAUAUCACAAAAAUUAAUUAUUCAGAAUUUAUAAUUAGUUAAAAUAAUCAACGGGAAAACAAGAGAGAACAAUGGGAUUAGAACUUUUGAUCUUAGGGUCAACUUUAAUUCCAAAUGAAGCGAAAUGUUGGAGAGGCCACCUUGGGCUGUAAAAUGUGCUAAUAGAUUGAAAAGCAAAAGAAAACUAGUACUAGUUUUGAAGGAGUAGUUGAUAUAUAGAUAACAAUAAUGUUUGAUGAGUUAUGAUUUUAUUCUGGCCAGCUGAUCCUCUAUACGAAACCAUAGCCUGAGAACAUGCUACACUUUUUCAUGUUGUGAGAAACAAUUGGCCAGAGUGUCUUUGUUGAACUUGUGUUAAGUUUCCAAUGGUUGGGAAAAACUGUAUUUUUCAUCACAACUAGAAAGGGUUACAAAAAGCUAAGAGUAAAUUUAGGAAGUAGUACUAUAAUAGCUGUUUCUAAGUAGGGCUACACACGGGAUUAGCCGCUCGCGAGCCUCUUGUGAGCAGUUCGAGUCAAAACUCGAUUUGAGCUAAUCAAGUCGAAUUCGAUCUUAAAGAUACUCAAUUCGUUAGCUCGCAAGCUAUAAUAGUAAAAUUACAUAUAUAUUCCUAAUAUUUUAUUAUUUAUAAGAAAAAUUAUCAUUUUAUUUUAUUUUUAAAAAAUAAAAUAAAUAUUUAUUUUUUUAUGCUCGAGCUCGACUCGAAUUUGAGUCGAACUAGAGUUCGAGCUUAACAUUGAAAGUUCAUUGAAUUCGAACUUGGUAAAAUUUACUUGAAACUCAAUUUGAUUAGGCCAAAACUCAAUUCGGCUCGAUUAGAUCAAAUCUCAGCUCAUUUGCAACCCUAAAAUCCUAAUGCAUCAACUAUCAAACUCUAUGUAGAUGCCUUAGCACAUUUUUGCUUUGUCCAUGAAUGACGUAAAAUGUGUAGAUGGACAAUAUAUAGUAUGAGCAACGUGGAAUUUAAGUAACCAUACAUGCCAGCAUCUUUUCUUUGAUGCCUAGAACUGAACCCUUCAAGUUGCUACGUACUAUCUUUGAUCACUUUCCAGUGUCAACAGUUCAUUUGACAGAACUGGAUAUUCAUCAACAAUAUAUAUCUGUAUUUAGACAAUGGGAAUAAGUCAAAGAAAGCCUGCCCUUCUUUGUUCGUUCCUUUUUUUUUUUUUUCUUUUACCUUUUGGGGGUAAGUACCUGCCCUUCUUUCUCUUCCACUAAAGGUUCAUUUUCGUGAGCAUAAAGCAUCCAAAACAAAACUGUCUUUCAUAGCCAUUUUUAGUGCCAACCAUGCUUGCAUGCAGUCAAUUUUACCUGGCACGCAUAAAUGACUAAUCAAGAAAAUUGCUUUCAGUCUCAAUUACAGUGUUGAAACAAUCUUUCUCGAUAAAUAAUCGAUUCCAUAUUGAUCAUUAGCUCGAAAUAAUUCAAUGAAAAUUGAAGAGAGAAAGGUUUAAUAUUGCAAACAAAACUCUAGCUAGUCUAGCUUACAGUGAUGAAACCUGCGCAACCAAAAUUUUGAUAUUUAGACUAGGCCUGUCGGAAUUUUUUUUUGGGUUAAGUAUAACCACAAAGGCUGCAAGCUUGAAAGUUCUCAAUCCUCAAUCAGAUUCGAUUUGGUCUACAUUCAUCAAAACCAAUCUAGAGGAGCUAGGUAAAUACUUACCUGGACUUGAAUUACAUUAAUCUAACCUGUGAAUAUUAUAGCGUGUGGUGUAAAUAUAGUCCCAUAAUCUAAAGAAGUGCAGGUAACAGCAAAAAAAAAAAAAGUGAUGAUUGGUGGUCACUUAAGCCACAAAUUUCGUGGACAAAAACACAAAUCCGGUACGUGUAAUAAACAAUAGUUACCCUGGAGAAGUCAAUGAUGGUGGAAUCUGUGUUAGACAUCAUGAGCUCCUCUAUACCAUUUUGUAGAAAAUUGUCUCCAGAAUUCGUCAGCAAGAUAUCAGCUCUCAAGUAGUGGUUUACUACUGCCUCAAACAUAUGCAGUAUAAGAUAGACAAGUUGUAGAAAUAUGAUUCACCUUUUUGGAGUCUUAAUCAAUGUUUUGAAACUCAAACCGAUAAAGUGGCUGGCUGGAUCAAGGUUCAAUAAGGUCAACCUAAGUUGAUAUUUGUUUGGUUAGUACCGGGCACUACAAGGAGUCAUGGCAAAUUUUGUUCUUAUCACAAUGAUGAAAAUUAGAACAACUGUAUGAUAAAUCAUUUCAUUGAUCAAGAUUUAUAGGAUAUGAUUGGUGGCCACGAUAUAAUGCCACCAAGUGAUAAAUCAUUUCAUUGAUCAAGCUCGUUUUUCUUAAAAAGAGAGGAUGAAAAAAAAAAAAAAUCAAAGACAAAGAGUUAGGGGUUUCAAAGAUGAAGGAUAGAAAAGUGGUCAGUGAAAGUGUAAAACUAGAGAAGAUAGCAAUGGCUGAGUCUUUUACCCAUGUCGUUAAAAUGGAGUUUUUAAGUUGAACAUUUCUAUCUCCCUAAUAACAUUAACACAUAAUUAAGCAUUGGGACUUUCUUUGUUCUUUCUUAGACUCAAUUUCAAAAGUUUAUGAGAGUGUAUUUUCACAAGAUAUUUUGCCUCGAAUGGAAAAGAAAAAGGCCAAAAGAUAUUGCCAUUUGCCACAACUUAUAUUUUACUUCUGCAUAAAUUUUGGCUAAAAUAAUAAGACCAUCCCUCUUAAGUCCAAAUCACAUUUGGACUUGACAAGGGCAGAUUUUGCAUUUUAUGCAAAAGUUAAUGUGAGGAACAGAUUCAUUAACCUCAAAUUCAACCCGCUCAGCUCACUAAUGAAGGAAGAAGCAUUAAUCUCAAUUCAGUUUGGCCAACGAUUUUUUUUUUUUUUUGAUAGAAGAGAUCAUUUCAUUCAAUAAAUCUGCACUAAAGAUAUGCUCAGAAUUAAGCAUGAUAGCUAAUUAAGCAUUUAUGAAUCCCUUAUUUUAGAUAAAUUUUUCAAGAGAAUUCAACUGUAACGAAGAAUAUUCCAUGGUAGCUAUGAACAAGGUGGAAACUAUAAGCAAAGUAGUUUUAACUAUUAGCCUUAGAUUGUCGUUAGAAAAAUAAUUUGAAGGAUUAAAACUCUAAAAACUUGUACUUGGGGGACACCUUUAUUAAUUCCAAUAGAGCUCAAUAAUCUAGAAGCACUAAUUUUGGGCUGGAGUGUGUGCUUUUAGAAUUAAGCUUAGAACAGACUGAAGAAAGCCUGUGUCCAACAAUCCAAUUGACAUGCCCGCAUGGAGAAGUCAAUUCACCUAGAGUCCAAUUGGCCAUGGGUGGUUUUUGAUUUGUUGGCCUUCAAUUAUGUGGAUAUAGUUGGGCCUUGUAAAUUUGUUAUUUCCCGAACUCCAUUAAGAAAAAAAAAACCGAAGACAAAGAAAUGGUACUAUUUCAUAAAUUCACUUCAAAAUUAGUAAUUCACACCCUCGCAUAACCUUUUUUUUUUUUUCUUUUUUACCCCUAAGAAACGGAUGGAGAAAUAAGCAUAGUUUUGAGUCAAUUCACCAAUUGCCCUGAUUGGCAUCAUUGAUGGAAAAUAAUUCGCGUCCAGCAAGGAAAAAAGAAAAAGAAAACAAAGAGCUGAAAAGAAAGGUGAAUGUGGUCAUAUCACCAUAUGAUAGUUUGAUGCCUAAGCCAACAAAAUACUUUGGGAUCUUUUUUUUUUGUUAUCUUUUUUCUAUUUUGAAUUAAUAAUUCGCGUUCAACCCCCCCCCCCCCCCCGCUUCCUCUCCCCCUCAUCUCUCUCUUGACAAAUAUAACAUAUGAAAAAAGAAAAACUAUAUCUGCGGUAUCUGGUGUAGGACCAUUAAUUAGGUGAUCGUGAGGUCUCUAACUUGUUUGACUUUUAGACUUUUUUUCUUUCUUUUUUAUAAUGUUCGGAAUCUCCUCUUACAAAAAGGAAAAUAUAAAAAAGGUAAUACACAAAGAACUAAAAACAAAUAUCUCCUUUAAUUUUUCCUUUUCCGUUUCCUUCGACUUGAUUAUACAAAAUUUUGCAGCAUGCCAACACUUGAAAAAGGAGAAAAGAGGCAGUUUUAGUUUUUCAAUUAUCAACUCAAAUAAUAGGUAAUUUUCACUCUUAGAUUGGAAAAGCGAAAGAAACUAUCACUAGUGUUGAAGGAGUAGUUCGUGCAGAUAACUAGGUUUGCUGAAUUGUGAUCUUAUUCUGGCCAACUGAUACUAUAUAUGAAACUAUAGCCCGAGAAAAUGUUAUACUUUCCAUGAGAUUUGCUUUAAGCCAAUUUACAGGGUUUUAUACAAAAACUUUCCAUGAGGUUUUAAAUUUAAAUCCAAAAAAAAAGAUAACUAACAAUGUCGUCAGAAACAAUUGGCCAGAGUGUCUUUUUGAAUAUGCGUCAAGUUCCAAUGGUGGGGAAGAGCUUUAUAUAUAUAAUUGUAUCAUAGCUAGAAAGGGCUACAAAAAAAAAAAGGAUUAAAAACAAAAAAGUCCCAUGUGAUAUAUUUAAUACACAUAAAAGUCCUCCGUGGUUUCAAAACAUACAAAACGACCCUCAUGUUUUGAACUAAAUUGUAAACUAACAGAAUUCGUUAAACUUAACGGAAUCCAGUAAACUUAAUGGAAAACUUAACAUAGUCCGGUAAAUUUAACGGUAAACUUAACAGAAUCCGAUAAGUUUAAUAGCCGAGACUGUCAUUUUCGUUAAGUUUAACGAUUUCUGUUAGUUUACAAUUUAGUUCAAAAUAUGAGGUAUUGUUUUAUAUGUUUUGAAACCAAUGGGGGUUUUUCUGUGUAAUAGGUAUACCAUAGGGGUUUUUUUGUUUUUAACCCAAAAGAAAAAACCUAAGGUUUUUUUUUAAAGAAAGUACUAGAAUAGCUGUUCUUAAUGCAUCACCGAUCAAAUUCUAAGUAGAUGCCUUGGCACAUCUUUUUCUUUGUCUAUGCAAUGACGUAGAAGGUGUAGGAUGGAGAAAAGCACGAGGGAUUUAAGCAACCACACAGUUUAUAUUAUAUGCCAGCAUCUUUUCUUUGGUGCCUUGAACUAUUCUAUACCCCUUAACUUACACUAAUCUGUGAUCACUUUCCACUAUAUCCGUGGUCAAACCGUGUCAACAGUUCACAGAAUUGGAUAUUCAUCAAAAGAAAUUGAUUUGAGCACUAAACUUUUUAAGUUUUAAUAUACACGGGCUGACGGGCAGUGACUAGUGAAUGUGGUAUAUGGAUGUAUCUGUAUUUAGAUUUUAGACAGUGAGAAUAAGUCAAAGAAAGCAUGAACAAAUGUAUGCCCUUCUUUCUCUUCCACUAGAGGUUCAUUCUGUUCAUUAUUGUGGAGGAUGCGCAGCUCAACAACGCAUUAAGCAUCCAAAAUGAAACUGUCUUGGGUCACCUUUUGAGUACAAAUCAUGCAUGUAUUCCAUUUAUGGGGCAUCCAUAAACCACUAAUGGCGUUCUGUCUCAACUAAAAUGUUGAAUCAAUCUUUCUCCAAAAGAAGACAAGAAUCACUCGAGUUGUCAUUUUUCAUGUUGUAUUAUUAUUAGCUCGAAAGAAGCUAACAAGAAUUGAAAAAAAGAAAAAGGGAAAUCCGAAUAAGGAAUAUGUUCACUCCAUAUUCUUUCUUGUUAAGUUGGACAUAGGCCCAAUUUUUGCUCAAAUCAGUCUAACCUGACACUUUGGCGUUGUGUUUGAAUGGCAUGCAACACUCUAGUCUAGUGAUAUUUAGUUUAAGCCUUGAAAAUUUUGUUGAGUUUCUUGUUCCUCAACAAGCUAGAUCUGAUAUUAUUCUUAUUCCACCAACGCCAGUUUGCCAUGGCAAAACUUUCGCGUGCAUGCAUCAAAAGCACUCAAGAAGGCGCAAAUGCUUGCAACCUGUGGAUCGUGGGUGUACAUAGAUGAUCACAUAGUCCAAAAAAUUGUAACAAUGAAAGAAAAGUGAUGCUUGGUAAGACUGAAAUGUAACCUACUUAAAACAUGAAUUUGGUUUCUGUAUAUUUUUACCCUGAUGCAUUCAUGAAUGGUGGAAUUUGUCCAGUAUAAAGCAUGUUAAGAAAUUCUAAGUGGAUGUCAGCGAAUUAGUGACCAAAACAGGGUGUUGUAUCAUUCCAUCAAAGAUUUGGCCGUAACCUGGUUAGUGGAGGCUGGUGUGCAACUUCCCAGAAUUUUAUUUCUCACAGGACACGACUUUUAAAAUGGAUGUUGACGGAUGAAGUAAUCUAAUCCACUAAAAGAAAUAUAUAGUCGUAGUCUCCACACAGGGCCGCAGAAAAAAUGCUAAUAAAAUAUCGAACAGAAGAGAAACCAUACCUUUGUUUCUGGGAUCUUGUUGAAUUUCAAGAUAUGGAAUGAGCACAAGUCAUGUUCUACUAAAACAUUGCAAACCAGGGAUUGUAUUUAGAGUUUGAAAUCACGUUAUGAAACUCACGGGAUAUUCCACUGAAAAAUUCACCAAUAUAUCUACGUGUCAACAUCUUCUUCAGUCUUCAUGCGCAGUUCUCUAAGUACAUUUAGAGGUAUCAAAUCGAGUGAUUCGAGUAGAUUUGGGUGAGUCAUACAUAGGUUCGGAGUAUAAUUGGAUCAAUCCAUUUAUAUUUAUUUAAUAUGUGAAUCAAUCCUUUUAUAAACAUUUAAUCAAUGUGCCAAAAUGAGAUAAUCCGUUUAUACCCAUUUAACAAAUGGGUAUGGACAUACUGCAUAAUCCAUUUAUGACCUGCUUGAAAUUCUACUUGUUUUUCCCUUUGGGUAUUGUUUAAAAAGAAAUAAUGAUGCUUUAUUAUUAUUGGAUUGGUAAAAAAUUCAAAUUUAUCCACUUAACAUCUACUAAAAAUUGAGUUUAAAUGUGUGAUUAUUUUUAAAUUUAUUAAACGGGUAAUGCAAGUCAGCCCAUUACCCAUCAAUUAAAUUUCAUACAUUUAAAUCCAUUCAAAGUUCAUUAUAUACCCAAAGCUACUUAUUAAUGGAUGGGUUUGAGCGGAUCAAGUGUAAUUGAGUUGUGGUUGUGACCUAUAAAUAUGUUAUAUCUCUAAUUCCUUUUGCUUGAGAGUCUAACUAGCAAUUGCUAAUAUUCACUAUUGGUAAAAUUUCUUUUCUUUCCUCAAGGGAUUAACUGAAUCCUUCAUAUAGUCUAAGAUUAAUCGAUCAAUAAUGAAUACAUACGAGUAGUCGGUAAUUCGACUAGUAUUAUGUAUACUAUCGAAAGUUCAAUUUCUAUUUCUGAAAUAGGGCUGCAAACGAGUCGAGUCGAGUCGAGUUUUGGCCUAAUCGAAUCGAGCCUUGACUUAAUUUUAUUGAACUCGAACUCGAGCUCGAGCUUGACGAGCUAACAAUUUCAAGCUCGAGCUCGAGCUUGACUUGAUUCGAGCUCGAAAAAAAUAAAAAAUAAAUAAAAUAAUAUUUUUUCUUAAAUAAAUAAUAAAAUAUUAAGGAUAUAUAUAUAUGUAAUUUUACUAUUAAAAUAAACAAAAAUAAACAAAUAUAUAUACUUAAAAUAAACAAAUAAAAAUAUAUAUAUACUUAAAAUAAAAAAUUAAAAUUAAAAAAUAUAUAUAUAUACUCGAGCUCGCGAGCCGGCCGGCGAGCUAACGAGCUUAAUAUUUUGAGCUCGAUUUCGACUCGAGCCAGCUCGAGCUCGAUAUUGAUUGAGCUCGAGUCGAGCUUGACUCUGCUCGCGAGUGGUUCGAUUCGUUUGCAGCCUUAUUCUGAAGUACGAAAUAGAAAAAAAAAAAAAAAAAAAAAACCUUUAAUCCACAACACGAAAAUACUGCCAAGAGUUGAUAUUUUACUUUUGAAGGCCUUUAUAUUAAUUUUUAGGCGCAAUUGAUAAUGUCAUGAUCUAUGGAAAUGUGAUUUCAAAAUUCUGCAUGCAUUAAAUACUCUCAUAUAUAAUUGAUCUAGGUGCCUCGGGUCUGGUCUAAUUUCUAAAAUUAUAUUAAUGGAAUCCCUUGAAAUUAUCGGGAAGAGCAUUCGAUGCUGAUGAAUUAAGCAAGGAAGAAUGAUGUUCGAAGAAUAUUAACAAAAUUAUUGCGUUGUGCAGUUCUGGAACAUUCAAAGUUGGAUUCUAUAUGUGAUAUAAAUGAACCACUUUCAAAAUUAUUUUAAGGGUUAAAUGCAAAAAACCCCCACAAACUAUAUGCUGAGUUGCAGUUUACCCCCUAAACUAUAAUAAUAGGCAUUUUGCCCCCUUGAAUGAUAUGUUUGGACAAAUCUACCCCUUUUAUUUUAAGCAUUGUUAUUUUUCUUUUUUCCCUAUCAUUUUCUUUUUAAAUUCUUCCUUUUUUUUCUUUAAACAUUGUUUAAAUAAGUAGACUAGAUUAGUCAAAAUUUGUUUAUUUCUUAAUUUCGUAUGUCAAUAUUUUAUAAAAAAAAUAAUCUAUGGAAUACAAGAUUUUUUUUCCAAAUGUUGAAGUCAAUGUCAUUUAAGAAAUUGAACUUUUCAAAUAUAUAAUAACAAAAUAGAGAAAUUGAUUAAUCAAUUAUUAGUAGUAUCAAUGGCAAAAAAGAUGAACUACUAUUGUUGUUUAUUCUUAUUUUUUAUUUCACUACAAAUAACAAUUGCUAACUUUUCUUUUUUAUGUGAUAUAUAAUGUUACUUUUAUUAUAAGUAGUUGAGUAACUGUGAACUCUUAAUUAGUUUAUAGGUACUUAAAUUGUUGAAUUACUAGAUUAAUACACUUUACAAUAUAAGCUACAUGUAAUAACAAAGAGUUUAUGACAAAUUAUUAAGAAUGAAUUUAACAAAUAAACAAAUUAAAAAGCAGUUUAAAUAAUAUUAAAAUUUUUGAUGUAAGUCUUUUCACAUCGGAGAGAGAUGUUGGCUAGUUCCAAGAGAGAAGGAGAACAAAAAGAAAAUAAAAGGAAAAAAAUGAAAAAAGCUAAUAGAGGGAAAAAAAAAGGAUUUAAGAUAGUAGGGGUAGUAUUGUCCAAACAUAUCAUUCAAGGGGGCAAAAUGCCUAUAAUUAUAGUUUAUGGGGUAAACUGCAACUGGGUAUAUAGUUUGUGGGGUUUUUUGCAUUUAACCCUUAUUUUAAUGCAGUCUGUAUAAGAUUCCAUGAAUACAUUUCAGAAGGCUGGUUCUUUUACUUUUCAGAAAAGUACAAGUCUAGUACACAGAUUAUGAGGCUGCUUAUUGAAUAAGUGCACUAAGCACUUGCAAACAUUGUGGAAAAUCUAUGUCACCCUAUUGAUCAUGAUUUACAGGAGCCCUGAUGUAUACUCCCUCUCUUUCCAAGAAUGCACCAAAUUAUGCAUUUAUUGACUAUGACGACAAUUUUAUAGAUCCUACAACUUUAAUAUGCUGCCCGCCUUAAAGAAAAGUUUGAUUCUGACUCUCCGGGUCCUGAAUUUUACACCAAGGUUAACUUCGGUUUCCCGAGAGUGAUUGAGUUGACAUUUUAACUUUGUUAUGCAAGGCAUUUUAUUUACCAAAAAAGAAUCACCAAGGAUAGAUAUAUCAUGCCUGAGAUAUUCAAUCAAUCAACCAAAGGAACAGAACUUGUUAUUGAUGUUCUCAAGCUACAGUGAUCCGAUAUGCCAUUAGCAAACAAAUUGGAAGAGUAUAGAUCCUCCGUACGUAAGCAGUAUCAGUAAGAGAGUAAUCCAGCUUCUAAAUUUUGUACACUUAUGAGCUUUAGUGGCAAAUAAGAUAAUUUAACUUUUUGACGUUUAACUAACUUGAAAUGACUCUACGAAGGCACCAGGACGCUACUGUUCAAGUGGCCAAUUCCACUCUCCUAUAUAAAAAUCCUCACCAUUUCCUUUGGUUCUCCAUCUCUCUCACCAAACAGCUUCUAAGUCUAAAACCCUCAAAACUAUAUAUCAAUUUCUGGUACAUUACCACACGUAAAAAUGAUAGACGGAGGUGAUGUAUACAAGGUGGUGACGGCCAUGGCACCACUUUACGUAGCAUUAGGUUUAGGCUACGGGUCCGUGAAGUGGUGGCACAUGUUUAAACUUGAUCAAUGUGAUGCCAUAAACAGAUUCAAUUGUUACUUUAUCAUCCCAUUUUUUACCUUCGAGUUCACAGCUCACGUUAAUCCUUACACCAUGAAUCGUGGCUUCCUCAUAGCAGAUGUAAUCGCGAAAUUUAUCGUUGGAAUAGUUUUGGCCUUCUGGGUGAAUUUAAGUAAAAAAGCAAGCUUCGAUUGGUGUAUCACCACCUUUUCUUUAGCCAGUUUGAACAACACUCUUGUUCUUGGUGCCCCAUUGUUGAAAGCCAUGUACGGAGACUUGGGAGAAAAUCUUGUUGUUCAGUCAUCCGUUCUUCAAUCUCUUCUGUGGUUCAUUGCUUUGCUUAUUCUGUUGGAAUGGAGACAGGCAAGGUCCGAAGCUGUUGAUGCAAGGUCCAUGAAUGGAGAUUCACAUGCUGAAAUCGAGAUGGGAAGAGACUUGGAAGAAAGUUCCAGCGCACCAGCGGCGAUCCAGUCACCUUCUUUUCUGUCCGUACUGAACACUGUUCGGACUAAACUUGCCAAAAAUCCUAACUCUUAUGCCUGCAUUAUCGGCCUCAUCUGGGCUCUUGUUUCCAACAGGUAUGCACAUAUGCACAAUAAGAUUUCGCAAUAUAUGCGACAUUUUGUUCGCUUCACAUAUUGUUGAUGAAUUUGAACUGUUCUUUAGGUGGCAUAUUAAGAUGCCGGAAAUAGUUGAAGGAUCAAUUUUGAUCAUGUCAAAAGCUGGGGCUGGUGUGGCUAUGUUUACCAUGGGUGAGAAACAUUCUAUUUAUGUAUAAUCCUUGUUACCCUUGAAAUGAAAUCUUGAGAUUAUGCAGGAGAAAAUCUCUCUAACUAAGUACUCGAACUUGUUAUCUGGAUGGAUCUCCAUGCAGGGCUUUUCAUCGCAUGGCAAGAAAAAUUUAUAGCUUGUGGUGUGGGUUUAACUUUUUAUGGGAUGGUUUUAAGGUUUGUAGUUGGACCAGCACUUACCGCUGCUGGCUCUUUUGCCAUGGGUUUGCGUGGUGAUGUGCUACGCAUUGCAGUGAUCCAGGUAAAAUAUUAGCCCUUGUUUGAAUUGCUAUGUUUUUUCAUUAUUAUUUUUGUAUGUAUAAUACAUCAAAUCGUUACAGUAUUAGUUUUAUAAAAACUUCAAAAAAAUAGGCAAUUCAAACAGGGAUUUAGCUAUGGAGUAUGAUUUCAGGCACGAUCACUUAUAUUCCUUGCGAGAUUACCAACUCCACCAACACCACCAUCGUCAGAUCUCAGAGCAUCAAAUUCUUGAUUUGUCAAGUCCAUUCUACUGAGGGGUUAAUUGAAAGGAUGGAGCAAUUGCUCUUGGAUGCCACGCAAUCUCAUAAAUAUAGAACAGGACAAAUAAUAGUUUUUUGUUUACAUGAAAGCUAAAUUGGAAAGAAAGAUGCUUAUUCAUUCUCCACCCCUCCUUUUUCCCUUUUGGGGUCCAAUUAUAAAUUGCUGUCACCUUUAAUCUAUUGUUAUUCUUUAGUGGAUACCUUUUGAAACUUCUGCACUAUAUUCCAUGAUUCCCUUGAAGAUAAUAUAAGUAUUGGGUCAUCAGUUGUCCAACAUGAAAUUUUUGUCUUCUUUAUGGCACAAAAUAAAAAAAAGUAAAGCAAAGCGUAGGAGAAAGAAUUUGAGAGCUUUAAAGAACAAGAUUAAUUUAGGUAAUUCAACCUGUCAACCAACCUGUUUGAAGGAGUAUGCCCUAAAAUCAGGGAUUUUUAGGUACUAUGCACCUAAUUAAACCUCUUCCAUUGUAUAUGGUAGACAUCCUCUUUUUUUUCCCUUUUUUUUUUGCAUGUUGCUUUUAUUAAUCAAAUGUAUUAAUGCUGCUUUCUUUUCAUGCUUUUGAUAGGCUGCAUUGCCACAAUCGAUAACCUCAUUUGUUUAUGCCCAAGAAUAUGGAUUGCAUGCCAACCUACUUAGCACAGCGUAAGCUUUUCUCCAAAACUACUGAAUUGUCUUACCAUUUCUUCUAUAAUCGUGCCUGUUAAUUAGAUGGAUUCAAAGUAUUUCUUAUGUGUUUUUUUUUUCAAGUUACCAAUUGACAGAAGUUAGUUACUGUGUUUGGUUAUUCAGGGUAAUAUUUGGAACAAUUGUAUCGCUUCCUUUGCUGAUAGGAUACUAUGCGGUUCUGGAUAUCUUACGUUAACACCUCUUCCAUGAAGGCCAAUCAAAGAUGCAGGGGAAAAGAAUCCAAAUAAAACCUUUUCUCGUGUGACGGCCUGAGUUCUGUUGCUGUUAUAUAAUGUUGUCUAUAGAUAUAUAUAUAUAUAUAUAUAUAUAUAUUUCUGAAGCAUAAGAGAACAAAAAUUUGCAUAUUCUAUUAGCCCUGAGACUUAGCCAAUUCGGGGUUUAUUUGGACUCCUCCAAUUUAGAAAUCGUGUAGAAUUGGAAAUUCUUCCAUUUUCUUGUGUCACUGAAAUGUUGUUUACAAUAAUUAACCAUUUGGCCUAGUGCUUUUAAGCAUAUGUUCAACUGUAUCCAAACAGUUUGCGGGUAUUCUUUAUUGGGUUUUUCUGACGGGUAUCCAUUCGUUAACACACUUGUAUUCCAUCUAACCUAUCAUAUAUAUAUAAACACUAGCAAUUACUACUUUUUUUGCAUUUAUACAUUUUUUCUAAUUAAUUCUCUUGCAUUUAUACGUUUUUCCUAAUUAGUCUUAUAUUUCUAAAAUUCUAACACCUGAAAUACAUCUUAACGGACACCCAUUAAACAGACCCUUCUUCAAUUUUUGUUAAUGCAAGAAGUCAGUUAAGUCCUAAGUAUGCUAAUAGCAAGAUGAAGUAAUCCUUUGAAGUUGCAAUUAGUUUUUUUUUUUUUUCUAUUUUGAGCUUACACAAAGAAAAUAAAAUAAAAAGAAAAAUUCAUGGCAACAUAAAAGGACAGGUUCAAUUUUGCCUCCUACUACAAAUAUUGAAUUCGUAAAAUAAACAACAGCUAACAGGAGUGAGCACAGCCGAUUGACGUACACUUGUUCAACCAGUAGGACCUGCUUAUUUUUUAUCAUUAAUGGAAAGCGAGCUUGUAUCAAUGAUCGAAGCAAGCUUUUCUAAAGUUGUUUGACAUUUGUUUAAUAAAUUUUCUAUCCCACUUAUCAGUUACUAUUCUCUUAGGAAGUUUUCUCCUAUAGUUUCAGAGAAUUUUCUAUCCCACUUAUCAGUUACAUGCAUGUUGAAUUUUAAUUAGAAAGUUUUACUCUCUUUUCUUCUUUUGUAAAAACCAAAAAUUUGGAUGAUUUCGACUUUAGUCACCAUCGUUGACAAAGCCCCAAAAAAGUUUUGUCCUUCAAUUCCUAAGAAAAUAAUGCAUCAUUUGGUCAUUUUACUUAACUUUACGGGUGAAUUACAGAUAACCUCCUUAUACUUUUGCAUAAUUCCAUAUCAAUAUCCUUCUAAAGUUUCAAAAUAUCUACAUAAUUCCUUUGUAAUUGCGUGUAAAGUGGAAUUUGAUGACAAAUAACCUCCGUGACACGUUAAUUGAUAGGGAUGGCAAAGAGGCGGGAUUGGGGCAGGGAAGAGGCCCCCGCCCCCCAUCUCGCUGCCCAUUAAUUCCCCCUGCUCCCGCCCUACCUCCCGUCCCCUGUUUCCCCGCCCCGCCUUGCUUCUUCACGGGAUUAAUAAAAAUUUGUUAUAUAAUUUUAUUAUAGUUAAAUUUUAACAAAUAAUCAAGUACUAAAAUAUCAAUACAUUACAAAGUUAUUAUCCAUUGUAAUUUCACAAUUGAAACUUAUAAAAACAAUCAAAUAAAAGUUAUUUGAAUAUAAUCCAACAUGACAAAACCAAUACAACUAAAGUAGUUAAGUUUUUACUUUUGAUACAAACACAAUCACUAAAUCAUUAUUUUUUUUUGAGAAAAAAGUGUUAUUGUGUCGAGUGUACUUAGGAAUUUAGUAUAAAUGUAUUAGUAAAUUUAUUAUAACUAAUUAAUAAUUUAUAUUAGUAGACAUGUAUAAUUAUUAGUAUAAUUGAUAAUAUCAAUUAUAUUAUAUAUACUAAUAUAAAAUAUAUAAUACAUAUAACUAAUAAUAUUAUUAUUAUAAGUUUGUAACUAAUUAAGUUAAAUAUUAUAUACAUAUAUAUAUUUAUUAAUUUUUUUAAACGGAUGGCGGGGCGGGAAUGGGGCGAGGGUAUACUCCCCCACCCCAACCCCAGCCCCAUUAGCCCCAAUUGCCAUCCCUAUUAAUUGAAGUGGAUGUUUAUGCAAAAAUCAUAAGGGAGUUAAGUGAAUAUUAUAAUAUUAUCACAGGCACUUUUGGAGUGCAUCUCAAUCAAUCCUAGUAAGCAAAGAUGCUUUCCAUUUAUUUUCCAUCCUACAUGAAAUUAUAGGGGUUACAUGGAUAUUUUCAAACUUUAGAGGGGUCAUGUAGUAUAAUGCAAAAAAUACGGGGAGAUCAUGAACAAUUUACCCUAACUUUGAUGUGUCCAAUAUUGAUCUUCCAUUUCCUAUAUUACACAUUUCAUUAGUGCGCAAUUGUAUGUCGCACAAGAAGACUCAAAUGCAUUGCAUACAGCUACUAUCAAUCCAGGAAAAAAAGGCAGUACAUGAACAUAUCCACCAUGCGCCCUGGAACGGCAGACCGAGUCCUACAAAACGGGACAAAAACUAAUUCAAUAUAUAUAUAUAUAUUUUCACUGGUUUUAACGUAAUGAUUUCAUCCUUGCAUUUCGAUUUUCGUGGUGUUGACAUAGAAGAAGAAAUACACACCUUCAAAGAGAUAUUGACAACUGACCAAGAAGAGCAUGAGCUGAAAGCAAAUAAAUUGACCUAUAAGCACUAGCUCAGUUCUAAGCAGUUCGAACCAUGCAAAGUGAACAAAUCAGAUCAGAAACCAAAAGCAAUUGGCCGUUUAAUUGUGCUAACCGCAUGAUUAAUGCAGAAUCAACUAUCCACAAAAGUGCAAUAAAGUUUUUACUGCUGGCAUGGGCUUCUGAACCGAAUCAUAUGAUUGGUGUAAAAAACAACCAAUUUUACUUAAAGGGAUCCUAUAUAGUGUUGUAUGUGGAAUACGUUGCUGCUAACGCUGUGAUAUCAAUAGGAAUUAGUUUCCAUAGAGCUAGAAAUUCAAGCGAAUCCACUUUUCUAUGAAGAAACAGAAGCAAUGGUGCUUGUAUAAGGUGGUAUUUCUUGGUAGUAUUUGUGGUCAUUAGCAGGACAAAAAAUAUGUCAAGAAUCUCUCUUGAAGUUAUGCCGUGUUAGCGAAACAAGCAUGGCGCUUGCUUGUUGAUCCCCCACUCCCUAUUGCACAAGAUCCUUCAUGCUAAAUAUUUUUCAGAUUCUGAUUUUCUUCAUGCACAGUUGAGCAGCAGACCCUCAUUUACCUGGCGCAGCAUUCUUGAAGGCAGGAAAGUCCUCAAACAGUGUGGGCACGGGUGAAUCGAUUUGUAUAUGGAGAGAUCCAUUGUUACCAAAACGAAAACUUUCUAUGUCUGUUCUCCACCUUCUGUCCAUCAUCGGAAUGCCAAGGUUAGUGGCUUAAUUGAUGAUUCCCACAACUGGAAUUCCCUCUUGGUUGAUAGCUUAUUUUGGAAAGAAGAAGCUGAGAUUAUUAAAUAUUAAGCGCAUCCCUUUAUCCCGAACUGGUGGCAAGGACCGUAAGUUUUGGCACUACUCAAAAAGUGGCCGUUUCACUUUUUCUAGUUCAGUAGUGAUCUUCAUAGUGGCUUUAGUAGGGGUAAAGACAAAGUCUGGAAAAAACUUGGGGGCCUCAACAUUCCCGGAAAAGUGAAGCAUUUUUUAUGGAGACUUUGCUACAACUCUCUGCCACACCCGAAAAUCUCCAACGGCGAGACUUAGAAGUUGACUACACCUGUCCCAAAUGUUCCGCACCCAGGAGAAUCUUCUCCACAUACUUUUUCAAUGUCCUUCAUCUAUUCAAAUUUGGUUACUGUCUUUUCACCCUAACAGCGUAUUUAUUAGAUACCAGACUCCUAGUGCUUCUCUUUGGGUCAAAGAAUUGAUUUGAUCAUGGUGAGAUAUGCAACUUUUCCUACAUAUUUUGCUAAAUUAUUUUGAUAUCAAACAUAAUCUAGCAAAAUAUGUAGGAAAAGUUGCAUAUCUCAACACUCCUCCUUACCACUUUUGCUGCAGAAUUUCUUACAAAAGUCUCGUCAAAAACAAGAUUCAAAGAUUUGAGAAGACAAUUCAAAAUCUGCAGCAAAAGUGGCAAGGAGGAGUGUUGAGAUAUGCAACUUUUCCUACAUAUUUUGCUAGAUUAUGUUUGAUAUCAAAAUAAUUUAGUUAUUAGAAAAAUAAGGAUAUUUGUUAACAAAAGAUCAUGUUGGUUUGUUAACAGAUAUUUUAGAUAAGAUUUGCUAGUAGAAGGAGAUUAUAUUUUGUUGAGAUUUCUAGGAUAAUUGUUAGUUGGAUAUUUUGCUAGUUUGUUUCAUGUAAUCACUAUAAAUAGUGAGUUGAUGAAUGUAGAACAUAAGCUCAUUUUCUACCUUCAAUACAAGUCUCUUAUAAGCUUUUUUUGCAACACUAAGGUGUUGUUUCUUAGUUUAUGCCCCAAAAAACCAACAAAGUGGUAUCAAGAGCCUAUAUCUUAAGGGCCUGAGUUUUUUUUAGAGUGAGUGCAUUGGUGAGAAUCCUUUAUAAGUUCAAAGCCAUGACAGGAAAGAACUUUUUGUCAAAUAUUUCAACUUUUAGUGGUGAAACUUACCAAAUUUGGGCCAUAAAAUUUUGGAUUUAUUUGGUAGUCAAUGAUCUACGGGAUAUGGUGGAGACGAAUUUUGUUUUAUCAGCAUUUGAAGAGCUGAUGGACACACAAAUUAGAGACCACAGAGUUGCAGUCAGACAGAUAUCCAAGGCCAGCAUUCACAUAUCAGUUUUUGAUGCCGUUUUCACAAAGAAAAUGGCUGAUGAUUUGAUUGAGAAUAAAUUAUUCUCAAUUAAAAUAGAAAGGAGAAGUUUCACUAUGAAUUGGUCAGAUUUUGACAAUUCUAAAGUGGAACAUGAUGAUGAAAUCAAGAAUCCAGAUCCUGAAAAAAUUCAGGAGGAGAUCAUUGAUAAGUCAGGAGAUAUCAGAUUGAUUCCUGAUAUUUAUCAAGAUUAUAACAUUUCUGUUUUUGGGUCUACAGAUUUUGAUGGUGAUGGCAAAAUGAAGAAUCAUGCAAAAUUUCAUAUUUUCUAUAUAGGUUCAAACAUCGUCAAAAGAUGUUCCAUUUUAAACCUAUGAGAAGGUUAUUUGGAAACAUUAAAAAAAAAUCAUCUUUUAUGUGGAGUUUGGCAUGAGAAGACAAAAGAAGAAGUUCAUUGCAAGGCUAAUCAUCAAUUGCAGAAUUUCUUACAAAAGUCUCGUCAAAAACAAGAUUCAAAGAUUUGAGAAGACAAUUCAAAAUCUGCAGCAAAAGUGGCAAGGAGGAGUGUUGAGAUAUGCAACUUUUCCUACAUAUUUUGCUAGAUUAUGUUUGAUAUCAAAAUAAUUUAGUUAUUAGAAAAAUAAGGAUAUUUGUUAACAAAAGAUCAUGUUGGUUUGUUAACAGAUAUUUUAGAUAAGAUUUGCUAGUAGAAGGAGAUUAUAUUUUGUUGAGAUUUCUAGGAUAAUUGUUAGUUGGAUAUUUUGCUAGUUUGUUUCAUGUAAUCACUAUAAAUAGUGAGUUGAUGAAUGUAGAACAAUAAGCUCAUUUUCUACCUUCAAUACAAGUCUCUUAUAAGCUUUUUUUGCAACACUAAGGUGUUGUUUCUUAGUUUAUGCCCCAAAAAACCAACAGAUCACUACCCACCAAGGAAUGCCAGCUCUUUACAAUCUUGAGCUAUGCAAUUUGGAGCUCACGAAUACUAAAGUGAUCAAAGGUGGGGAUCGUGAUCGAUGACCCAAGUAAAUGUUGCCAUAGCUCUUUUGAAUUCUUUUAUCGAUGCAAAUGCUUGUCCAGAAACCUUCGUACUGGUCUGCUCCUCCCAUGAACGUCUUCAAACGGGUUCGUCUCAAAGUUAAAGAAUACUUCUGAUGUGGGAGUAGUUAUACGUAACCAUACAGGAGAAUUUAUUUCCACCAAAAAAAAAAAAAAAUACAGGAGAAUUUAUUGUGGGCUUGGCUAAACAAUUUUCGGGGACUUUAGAUGCUGAGUUAAUUGAGGCUAUUGCAGCCAGAGAAGCUAUUUUACUUGCUGAGCUUCUCGAGAUUCCAUCUUUCAUAAUUGAAGGUAAUUCAAGGAUAGUCAUUGACCUUCCGCUCAACAAGAAAGAAGGUUUUAGUUGUAUUGGCCUAGUUGUUGAUGAUAGUAGAAUUGCUAUGGUGGUUUCAUAUGUUGCUAAUAUCAAUUGGUGUCCCAAAGAAUCGAACAAGGUGACUCAUAAAUUAGCAUCUUUUGCUAAAUCAGGAGUUAACACUCAUUCUCUCUGACGCCAUCCCCUGGAUUUUGUAAAACAAUCUUCCUUUUCCCCCGAAUUGUCAUUAAUAAAAUCUUCCUUUUUCUUAUCAAAAAAAAAAAGAAGUGACUGGCUAUCAGUGGCUAAUAACAAUGAUCAAUUGAAGAGUUGGAAAACUUAAAAAGAAUUUGAGUAGGUAUUGGGAGAAUUGCUCUAUUUUUAGAUUAUCAAGAUAGGUGAUUUAACAAUGUAUGCAGGUACGCGGUAUAUCCCUGUUUUGUUGCAUAAUUCUGUUCUUACCUGAAAGUUAUUAGCUUUCCAGUCCCAUAAGUCACACACCCCAAUCAGUAGCUAUAGACCUCCCAGGUUUUUCUGCUUUACUAGUGUGCAUGGUUAGCAAAAUCGGCCGAUUCCGAUACAAAUCGGCCGAGUCGUAACUGGAACGAAGGAAAUUGUUACGAUACCGAUUUCUAAAUCGCGGAUAUUACUAUAUCCUCAACGACUCACUCUGACUCGGCCAAUAUUAGCCGAUUCGAAUCCAUGAUGCAUGGUAUCGAUCGAUAUAUCCAAGUUAAUUCGGAGUUGAUUUGGAUAUUUUUUCAGAUUGUACAUUUUUUUGAUAUUUUCUAAUUUUAGUGAUUUUUUCAGAUUUUAAAAAAAAUUUUAUGUGUUAUAAUGUGCGUAUCACCCGAUAUUCAACUGAUAUACCGCGGUGAAUGUGGAACAAUCGAGAUCGCGAUGCGACCGCGACACGACCAUGACUCGCGAUGGCAAACCAUGCUAGUAUAUAAGUAGAACAUUCUUGGAUGGAGUUAUCUUUUUUAACUAUUGUCCCCCCAACGUUAAAACCAGUGAAAACGAAUACUAAUCAUAUAUACAAGCAACUACGGUUAAGUUGCAUUAAUCAUGCAUUAUCCCUCAAUGAAGGAUCUGUCUAUCAUCAUGAUCAACAGCCACUAUUUCUAAAUUUAGCUAUGUUUUCAAUGUGAUUAAGAAGAGCCAUCUGGCGAGGUGAACACUGAUCAUCCUGAUCUUUUCUGGUUGGAAGAUAUUUUAAGUGCUGGAUCCUUGGUGUCUUUCUCUGCAAGUCUAGGUAGGCAUUCCUUGAAUCUGGAGCAUCUGCAAGAAAGACCUCACCAGUAGGGCGGGGUUAAUGACUCCAAAACGGAACCAUUGAGUUGCAACCUUUCUGGAUGGGAAAUCAAUCUUCUCCUUCACCAAAACCGCCCCAUGAUCCUCACAUCACAAUCCUCCUCCAAGAUCCACAAUGUGAUGCCAUUUUGAUGUGUCCAAUUAUGUAAAUUCACCAGAUGCCUCAAAAAUACACUAUUAACACCUAAAAGUGUUUUUCUUUUUAAUCAAAAGCGCCACUACUAAUUAGGGAUGGUGUUCAACAAACGUUUUAAAAGUACUUUUAACACCUAAAAAUAAUAAUUUUUUUUUUAUCAAAAACACCGCAAUCUCAAAUAGGGCUUAAUAUGUAUAUACCCGCAUAGGUAUUAGAAAGUCAACAGGCUGGUCCCUUGGUCAGUAACCUCGGAGUCGUUUGUUUUUUGAUGUGUACAGAAGCGCAGCCCUCUUUGAUUCAUAGAAGAAGAAAUUUCUUUUGCCUAUUACUCAAAGUCUUGUAAAUUUUUUUCCAUGGUUUCAUAUUUGUUUAUCUAUUUGGGUCCAUAAUAGUCAGCAAUCUAAAGAGAAACAAUCAAAGAGGUUUUCUGUCUCCCAAAGACUAUGAAGCGAUUAAUGUUCAAAGCCAUCCUUAAUUGGGACAAAAUGGCAUUUGCCAUUUGAGAGCCUUGAAUGACAUGUCAAUCCAAUGCUGCUGUAUCUUGUUAUUUUAGGGUUACUUUCGCCACUUUGGCAUCCCUUCCUCUCCUGCAAAAGAUGUUAUGCCAUCCUCCACCUCCUACGUUAAAAUCUAUGGCAUGGAAUUUUUACUCGGAAGCUGCAGCAGCAAAUGCAAUCAACUCAUUUUAUAGUAAUCUGUACAUGUAUACAUAGACUAUAAUAAACAUAAACAGCAUUUUUUUACUAGCCACACGAUUAAUGCACCCAUCAUUUAUGUCGACUUCUUCUUUUUUGUUUUCUUAUUUUUGCUAUAUUGUAAUUAUAAAACUUUUGUCACACAGCAGCAGUCAUAUAAUUUUUUGUUGGACCUUUUCAUUUUCGUCUUUUCUCGUUUAUGACAAAUGUCAAUUACUAUUCAUCGGGUGCUUUGCUUUGAGAUCCCUAACAAAACCCCUAGGAUACUGCUUUGAAGGAUUGAUGUUCUCUACUUACUCUUAAUGUUGGAUUGGACAACGGAUUACUCCAAGUAUCGUUUAAAAAAUUGGCGUCUUUUCACCUUCUAUCCGCAAAUAGGAUGGUAGGGAAUCGGGUACCUUAAAAAAUCCUUUUUACCAAAUCCUAACUUGUUACCAAACCCUAUCGAGUAAUCCUACGGAGUUUAAUUCCCAUUACUAAACCCUCUUGCUCGUGAAUUCGGAUUGCCCAUCAAAUAUCCUCUACCCACUAUGUUGAAUAGUUCAAAAAAGGAAAAUUAAGUUUUAUCAAACUAAAAUCCAUACAUACAUCAUGUUAAUUAACAAACCAUGUUGAGUUUUAAACUUGAGUAAAACCACAGAACUUGCAUGAGAAAAAUCUAACAUUCAGUGAAGGAUUAAAUCUACAUUCUUCUAUUUCUUAGAGUUAUAUGUUAUCGAGUUACAAAAUUAAGAAACAUGUUAUUGGACUCUAAAAUUAGAAUCUAUAUUGAGUUACCCGUUGAUAAUCUCUCAUCAAUACCAAACCCUAAUGAAUAACCCAUCGAUCAUCUAAUCGGGUUAAUCAUCAAGUCGGGUUUUAUGCUACCCAUUGCCAUCUCUAUCUCCAUUUUCCAGGGACUCAGGUGAUGACUAGGAAAUUCUGUUUCUUUAUUAUUACCCAUGGCUAAUUCUCAAUGGUACACUAUAAUAAUGUAAAGCCUUAUGAAGUGUAGUUCCAUUUGUUCAAGCAGAUCCAGCCAGAUAGAUUUUUGCAAAAGGGGUUGACUAGGACAUGCUGGAGGCAGGAGAGAAGAAGGAAAACAAGGAAACGAAGCAAGUGUUUACAAUAAAAUUGUCAGAUUAAUUUACAAUAGCUCGAGGAUAGGUGCAAAAGCACCUGGAAAACUAUUAUGGGAAACUUUUGGCGAGUAAAUAACAUAUUCAUUAACCUAUACUCUACAUGCACUAAUGGGUUUCAAUGUACCAAUUCCAAAAGAAAUCCAUUUCUACCAUGGUCCUCGACUAUCAUUUUCCAAAAAGGAAACAGCCUCAGUUGUCCAGAACUCCAUUUUCUCCUGCAUCCCCAGCAUCUGAGUACUCUCAUCAUCACCCAAACCAUCUACAGUUACAAAACCAUCAUCAGAUUCAAAUAAAUCAUCCAAACUCUCACCAUAAUCAUCAUAGUCAUCAUCCUCUUCAGCAUCCCAAUUAUGAUGAUCAUGUUUAUCAACAAUUUUAUCAUUCUCAAUGCAACUCCUCCUCUUGUCUCUCCUCACUCUUUUCCCUUCAUUAACUAGUUCCAUCAAUUGAUCUUUGAUCACUAAUAUUUCAUCCUUAUUCAGAAGCAAGCCCCUAUCAUUGUAUCCCUCCACAAGAAAAACAGAGUCUCUCUGCCCCUUUAGACUUACAUAAAACAACUCAGGAUGCCUCACCAGCAUCCCUCUCAACUUGUUGGGCAACCCAAACUCCUUCCUGAAAUGUGUCAGAUGAUCCACCAAAGUCCUCUUCUCAACAGUCAUCCCCAAGACCUCUCUCACCAAAGCACAAGCUCUCUUCUCUGCCUCAAUCGAUUCUUUCUGCAAGUCCUCCACUUUGGUUUUAUAAGGGCACACAUCUGCUAACUCCUGAAACUUUAUCAAAUAAUCCUGAUGACGUCUCUUAAGAUUUUGCCCCUUCCUAAGCUUCAGAUGCUUAAACUUUAAGGGCCUGUCCACUAUCAAAUCAAGCUUAGCCUCAGACUUUGGUAAAACAUUAGCCAAAUCAGGGUCCCACUGGACAAGCUCAAGGGCACGGCCAUAAGAAGUAUCCACAAUCUUAAACCUAUCUGGAUACUCGUUGCAAAGCCAGGAAUGAAAGUUCAGAGGCAAACCAAGGUCAGGGGCAAGGUGAACAAGAUUAGAUAGCAGAAGCCUGUUGUGUGAAGCAAGCAUCAAGAGUUUCUGUAACUUAAUUACCAAUGUCUCUGCCAUUGCCCUCUUAAGGUCAAUUUCUUUACGCGCAAGUGCAGCUGCAGCCGGUGUGAGGCGAAUGCAGGUCUGCGAGAGCCACUUUGCAGCAUUCAUAGGUAUAGGUGGUGCUGGGAUAGUGAAGACCUCAAAAAUAGUGGGGUACCGACGGACCAUUGAAAGAAUGGGCCGAGGCUUAGGUAAAGAUAAGUAGGAUCUACACUUGUACAAAAUGUGCAGUGGCAUGAAGUGUUUUGGCUUGGAGAGUAGCAAAGUUUUGAGCUUCUGAACGAAGCGGAUUUUAUUCUGCUUCACUACAUGCUUAUCCAACGACGGGUCUCGUCGUAGUUUAAGAGGAUUUGAGGUGCACUUUAUUGAAGUGAAGGAAAUGUUUUUUCUGGGGUUGCAUUUAAAGACACUGCCAUAGCAAAGACUAUGAUGUGAUGUUGGAUCAAUGUGAAUUGGCGGGAGGAAUUGGGAGUGAAGUGAGACAAGGGAUUUGUCAUUCAGGGGUUGAGGUUGUGCAGGUAGAGUUAACAUCAUAUGAAAAAAAAAAACUCGUAUCCUGAGAGCCUAGUUUAAUAGGUACUGCUUACCAAAGUGGUAUAAGGAACUUCAAAUUCGGUUGGGUAUUUCGUCAAACAGUUGGCGUGCAGUCUCCUCAACAGGGAAAUGCACGGAUGACAUUUAUCCUGGGUGAGAGAUCAGAUAGUUGAAAUGCAUCCCACAAAGAUUGAUGCUCAAAGUAGAGAAUGAAUUAUCUUUGUAAAGAACUCAAGGAGAAAGUAAAUUUUACAGAGCCUUCUUUUUUUUUUUUCCCAAUUGAUAGUUAGUUAAAUUGGUGGCGGGAAGGAAUGGGCAAUGGCAACGAAUUUCGGAUUGGUAGGCUGAGAAAGCUACAGAAUCGAGCAAACGGUGAUAAGUCUUUUUUAAUUAUUUGAAAUUUUGACAAUAUCAAAUGGUAAAAAGAAAUAGUGUUUUUUUUUUUUUUUGGCUCUGACUUUUCAAAAGAGUGGAAGAUAUAUAUAUGGCAAAAAUAAAGUCAUUCUUUUUUUAAUAGUAUGAUAGACUGAAUUGGUGUUUUCAUGUAUAUUAAAUUAUCCAAAUUAGACAGAUGAAUAAGCGGACCUAUCAAUUUUUUUUUUUUUUCUAGUUGACAGAUAGGGACCAGUUUUGUCACUAGAUUGUAAAUGUCACUAUCACUUUUUGUCAAUCCUAGUGUAUAAUUAACAACAAAUUAUUGGAUUCCAAAAUCAGGUAACCAAAAGUUUAAAAACUUGUUCUAAAAACAAUUGUUUCAACAUUUUGGAAAAGAUAUCGAGAAUUAGGAAAUGGAUUUACAAACUCCCUCAAGAAUAUAAUGACGGUGAAAAAACAAAUACUAAACCAUCGGACCCUAGUCACUUUUUCUUUCUUUCUUUCUUUCUUUUUGUUUUUUGGAUCAAAUUACAAGAACCCAUAAUGAUGAGAGUAAUAUAAUAAACAAACUGGUCACAAGUGGUGGAAAUCAAAACUUAUUAUUACUAUAAAUAAACCUUCAAAUAGUAAGAGAAGAAAGUAUAGACGAUUUUUUUAGAUAUUUCACUAUUGCAGUUAUUUAGAGAUCCAGAAUUCUAUAAUUACAAUCACGAUUAUAGAGUGCAAUUACUAAUAGAAAAUAGUUUGAUAUAAAAUCGAAUGAAUGAAAUUAACUGUGAGACUCAAUUUACAGCAAAUGAUAAAAUUUAUCGUGUUUUUUCACGUCGUUGUUUUAAUAUUUACGAGCUUCAUUUUACAUUUUUUGACAUACACUUCUAUAGAAGGCUUACUUUUUGCAGUAGGACACAGUCAAACAAUUAGUCUGCAACCUCUUUUAGACAGACAAAUGUGAUCAAGAUCAAAACCUGGAGGGCAAAUUGAAUCGAUUGGAAUUUGAAUUUAGUUUAAAUGACCAAAUAGAAAAAAGAGUUAUCUUUUGCCAUUUUUUGGGAUGUAAUUUGUGCAAUUUGAGGAAGAUGAGAAGGUGUAGGACAGGGGAAGUUGACUUGCUGUCUUUUUCAAAAGUUAGUUACAUUUGGUGGCGGGAAGUGGCAACGGAUUAGGCGGCUAUUUAGUAGCAGAUGUGAACAGGUGGAGCCAAUGCCUCGAGUUUACAAUGAGGUCCCUCAAGAAGAAUCUAUUUCAAUUUAAUUGCACCAAACCUCUCAAGCUCCAAGAGUACUAUGGCUUUCGUCCCAUAAGUUUUUUCUGCUUGUCUUUGACAUAAAUGUUCUUUUAGACAUUAUAUGUGCCGGUGCUUUUGGCUAGAGGUGGCAAUUUGGAUUGAGAUCCAUUUAUCCAUCCAUAUAAUCCAUAAUUAAAUGAAUUUGGAUUAUCCAUUUAUGAUAUUGGUUUUAAAUGGUUGAUCAAAGUAAAAUCAUUAAAUUAAAUGGAUUUAUAUGGAUUAUCCACAAAAAUCACAUAUAUCCAUUUAUUUUAAAACCAAAUAAAAGUAGCCAAUCAUGAUCAAAACUUGCAAGCAAGAAAUAUAUGACAGUGUAGUCCUCCAUGCUCCCCAAUCAUGCGGCGGACCGCAUCAACGAACUCAAUUUGGGAACAUCCCCCCCCCCGCCCCCCCUUUUUGGUCCCCCACCAUAACCUUCCCUCCUAUUCCUAGCUGGGUUCCCUCAUUGUUUCUUUAAUUUAAACCCAGAAAAUUUUCCAAUCACUGGUUGUAUUUGAAAGAAUAUUAUAAAUUUUUUGUGACAUGACGUGUAUGAGAUAAAAAAAAUUAAAAAUUAUAUUUAUGAUAUAGGUUAAAUAACAUUUGAAAAUUUUAUUUAUAAAUUACGGUAACCAAAUUAGACCAAUUGUUCUUAAAUUAGACCAAAAUACUACCUAAAUUCUUAAAUGAAAAAUCUAAGUAUUUUGCCAUCUUUCUCAUCCAACUACACCUAAAAUUUACGAGUACAUAAAAAAGUAUACAUAAAAAAGUAUCUUCAUAUUACAAGAAAUGGUAAUACAAAAAAAAGUAACCAAAAUAUUUAAAUGGAUUAUAAAUGGAUAAUUGGAUUUUAUUUAAUCCAUUUAGAUCCAUCCAUUUAAAUCCAUUUAUUAAAUGGAUUUAAAUGGAUUGGAUAAAUUUCAUCCACCAUCCAUUAAGUCAAAACCAAUUAUGAACCAUUUAUCCAUAUUGACACCUCUACUUUUGGCACACCCUAGGCGUGUGCUUAUUUUAAGAAAAUAUAUUAUUAUUCUUUUUCAUCUUAAGUUAUACAUUAUGGUAGAUAUAUAUAUAUAUAUAUAUAUUUAUCUUUAAAAAAAACUAGUUACUACUUUAGAGGAAGUUACUGUAUUUAAAAAAUCAUGGAGAAAAAAGUGUGGAUGUGAGGGAAUUAAUGUGAGGGAGUUGUAAUUCGAUCUCAAAGAGAUAACCCUUUGCUGAUUAUGGGGAGUUUUUUUUUUUCCUAGAAUAUAUUAGGACCAAUUUGCUCGUAUAAUCAAGGAUAUAUUAGAAAUUUUAAAAAGUGACACAGCAUGUUUACCUUCAAAUGUUGGAGUCAUAACCGCGAUUUGAUUUGAGGUUCAAAUUGCAUUAUUAUAUGAAGGUUUUUCUAUAAGAUAAUAAAGAACGGAUUCUUUCUAUGUUGAUGUAGCUUUGACAAUUGAGGCCCUGUUUGGCACUUGAGUUUUUUGCCAAGUUUAUCUGCUACAGUAAUCUCAAAAACUUCUCAAAAAUUUUAAAUUAUAUACUUGAAACUAUUAAAAAAUUUACACAAUUCAAAAUUUUUUUUAAAAGCUUUUAUAGUAAACUACAGUAAAGUUUUAGAUAAAUACCCAAAAAACUCACUUGCAAAAUGGGCUCUGAAUCACGUAAAAUUUUGUAUGUCACUUAAAUUUUGUGUGUGUAAUUUUAAGUUGGUUUCAGAGGCUUAAAUGCAAAAAGCAAUUGAUGGUAAGUUAAUGAAACUACUAGGUCUGACACUUGACUUUAUUAUCUCAUACUAUUAAAUAUGCUAAUUAAUGUGGCAAGAUAUAUUGGUAGGUUAAAUGCAAUAAAAUAUUAACACAAGCAUUAGGAGUAUUGAUAUUCAAAUGGUUUGGUAAACACUUUUGCUUCAUUCCCGCGUAGAAAUACAUGCAAUGCAGUGUCAUCAACUUGGUACAAUAGAAUAGUCUCUAUGAUUUUCAACCAUACCAAUAUUUGUCUACCACGAUUUCCAGUAACAACAACUAUUACAAUUGUUGAUGAAUCAGAAGUCAAAUACUAGUUAAUGUAAAUGAUAUCCGCGUUGUUUGGAUUGUAAUUUUCUGCCAAACAAAAAAGAAAAAUUUACGUCUUGGGCGAACAUACAUUUCCAAUCACCUUUUUAUCUCGCAUACAUCAAAUCGUUACAGUAUACUUUUUUUUUAUAUAUAAAAACUCCUAAAAAUAGCAAUUCAAACGGGCAUGAUUGAGUUUUUCCACUAAUUGCGACGUUAAUUUGCUUAAGAGUUCUUUUGUAUGAAAACAGAUAUGACAUUCCACAAAAGUCCUGGCUACACCACACCAGUUGAACAGAGAAAAUAUGGAAUCCCUUCAACGCGUAGAAGUAAUCAUGGUCGAGCAGACUGGCUUAAGCCAACCCCAAGGAUGCUGGCAAAGGAGUCUAUGUUCUUUUGAACCCUUUAAUAACAGCUAACAAGCAUGUUACACAUGCAAAUCCAUAGAAUUGGUAGUUCUAAUUCCAAUUUCCAACUCACAAAAAUCCUCUUUCAUGAGGUGAAAGACCAGGAAAAGUCAGAAGAGUUGAUUGGUCUUGGGAUUCCUUUUCCCUGCAUCCCUUUCAAGCUACAGCCUAUGUAACAUAAAAUGGGGUCAGCUCAAAUUCUCAUAUCUCAGAUCAACUAAAAAAAAAAAUUAUUUUUUGGGUUAAAACACAUAUAGAUUUUCUUUCAUAUCAUUUUUUAUCAUAUUAUUUUUGUUUAUCACUUUUUUCUUUCAGUAAAAGAAGAGGAUCAACAAUAAUUCAUCACCCAACCCGUUAAAUGACUCGAACCCAUGACCUGUGCUGUCGAUUACAAGUGAAGCGUUUUACUUUACCGUAUUAUUCUUCUUUUUCACUUGAAAGGUGCAUGAUGCAUCACGAGUUCAUGGCAAAAAUGAAUUUUCUAUUGGGUAAGCUUAAGAGGUCCAUCUGAUUUUUUUCGCCAUUUGCCAAUUGGGUGGGUACGACUUGGCUGGAUUUUGUUUCCUGGAUGGAUCAACCUCCAAGGACUUUUUUACACAAAAAAAUUAAUAAUAACAAUAAAUUAGAAUUCUGAAAAUGCUACUUUGGCUUCAAAUAUUGUUUGCCUCCUUCCUGACCCUAUUAAGAUACAAAAGAAAAAAAAACGUUUAAAAGGAAAAUGUAAAUGAGAAUAAUAAGGGAUGCUAAAGCAGUGUCAAAAUCGGAUGAGUACAUGAUAGGAUAUGAAGCUACAUCCACUUCUUUUGCCCCCAUAACCUCCCAUUUAACACUCUAUAGGCGAAAAUGACAAUUACACAUCAACCAUCCUUAAUUUGCCAAAUAUGAAAAAAAAUCUGUUCUUUCCAAGUAUGAGAAACUAUAAAAAAAGGAUAACUAUUAGUGUGAAUUGCCAUGAAAGCUCUACAAUUUGUUGGUGUCAUCAUGACUACAUAGAAGGGAAAAAGUAUAUACCCAUAGAAAAGGGAAAAUUUUAAUGGGUUCAAGAAAAAUGUGUAAAUAUGAUGAUCUCUUGAGGCUGAGUUUAUAAUUAGCAAGUAAAGUGGAAACUGAAAGUGGAAGAGAAAUGGACCAGAGUGUCAAUGCCAACCAACCAUGGCCUUAUUCUCAAAGAUUAAUAUUCAAACCAGCCAGUGGUCCUUUUAUGUUCUAGACAACAAUAAUGAGAGAGUUAUUGACUUAGAACUAUUAAAAAUCAAAGCCAAGCUGCUGUGGAAACGCACUUCCCUACCAUUUCCUUCCCCACAAAUUCUCCGAAAACGUCGGUUUCUUUCUCACAUCUUCGACAGACUAAACACACGCACACACUCCAUCACACACACACGAGGAAUAACGUUUUGAUCAACACCUGAAACAAAAUUAAACAGCGUUUGUUACUUUUGGCUCUACCUUGAAGACAUAUAAAUAUGUAUCUGUUAUAUACAAGUUCUUGAGAGGUGAUGGAGAUGAAUACAUAUUUCCAUUUCAGUUAUUCAUUUCCUUAAUUUUCAUGUCGUUUCUUAGUUAUUAUGGAUGUGAUCUAAUCAUUUAUUCCCCUUGCAAAUACUUUUUGUAUAGGAAGACCAGAAGUGCAGGUGCAGUUGAAGUAUCUGUUAGUUUAUAGUCUACAUACAUGUUGGUCGUUCAUGGAAAGACGAAGCCCUCAAGCAUCUACGUAAGUUUGUUGUUUUUCCUCCACAUAUGGUUGUGUAAACUUGUAAACCUUUGACGGGUAGUUUAAACUUCAAAGGCAUUCAUUGAUUACUGCUUGCUAAUUGAUAUCCUGUUUCUGAAGAUACCUGGUUCAUUAGUUUUCCGGGAUGUUGUUGCCUUUUUUAUAAAAAAAAAUUAGAUUGCAUAAAAGCAGUAAAGAUUUUAAUAUUUGAAGAGGGGUGUAAAAGAUGUUUAAUUUUUUCCUCAUUUUAUGAUUUACAGCUUCUCUUUUGCUGUCGAGGGAUGGCCGUAUUGGAUGAUACAUUCUCAAAUUUGAAUUUCUGCUGAUGUUUAUUCUAAUAAAGAAAGGAAGAGGACAGCUUCUGUUGAAUUUUAGUUCUGUCUUUGUUAUGUGGGGUAAUGGAGCUUUCUCUGUUUUCGGACACUUAGUAGUCAGUCCAUUAGAAGGAUUUUCUGACUUGAGAAUUUUCAUUGGUUAUAUGAACUUAAAGUUUGUCUUACUAGAAGCAUGAUCAAUUGGCCUUGGUGUCUCCAUAAGCUGCUUGUUGGCGGGUGGUGAGUGAUUACGACCUGAUCUGCAAGGAUCAUUGGUUACUAGGGAAAACCACAUCAGCCUAUUAUAAUGAUCACAAAAAGAUGUUGAUUACUUGUUAUAUGAGAAAAGUGUGUGUGUGUGUGUGUGGACUUAUAUAAGUUCAAUUAUCAGAAGUAUAUUUUGGUGCUGAGUACAAAGUUUGGAGUAUAUAAAAUUUCACCAGCUGCUCUAUGCUUGUUUAAUGUUGUAGCAAAGUUGCAGAAAGUUCUCAUGUUUCAAGAUCAUGUUUUUUCUGUGUACGAAAAAAUACCUUAUUCUGCAGUAUCUGAUACUAUAACAUAUAUAUUCCACUUUACCACAGUACUGGGCGUAUUUUGCUUUGUUCAAGUGUUGUUUGAAUUCUUUCCACAAAAUAUAAAAUUUAUAGGAUGUGCCUGUCCUCGACAGACUACAAAUUUACAAUGAUGAGCAAUUUCAGUGAUCAAUCUAUAACCAAGAGGAGCAUGCCGCAGUUCAGUGCAUGUGCCUUUGUUCAACGGUACCUUAAACAGAUAUGUGCUGAUAUAGUACAAGUUUUUUCGUGCCAUUAGAAGAGCGUAUAGCUCUACCACACAAUGUAUGGCUCCCAAAUAGGUUGUGUUGCAAUAGAGGGCCAUAAGACAAAGCAAUGAAAUAGCAGUGCAAGGCAGAAAAUUGCUGGCUAUCCUUUUUUAGCCAUAAGUGUUUUGCUAAUGAAUUUUGUCAUUUCGUUUGUGUACUACACUUCUAGUAUUGGGGUUAAUGUUACAGUUUGAAGAUCAUUCCUCGCAUUCAGAUAUGAGCUAAGUUUGAAAUAUAUAGGUAGAUUUAAGACCAUAGUUUCUCUGAGUUCAUAUGAAAUAUGAGCUGUCUUCCUAUAAAAAGUGUGCAUCACUGGUGUGCAGGCUUUAGCACUAAAGGAUACAAAUUUUCCUUCCAUAGUACUGCUGCUUAAUGCCCAAAUUUAAACGAACUGACUUUGAAAUCUCACUGGCAUGUCAAGACUUUGAGUUUCUAGGCUUCAUUUAAUUGCCUGUGCCUGUAAUACAUGAACUGGCAAGUGCAAUUAAUGAACUUUGACCUGCUGCUUUAUCCUGCCUAAAAUGCUCAGAUUUUGCCUGACUGUCAAUGGGAGAGAUGCCCUCAUACUGUGUAGGAAAUGCAGAAAGAUAACUUUGCCUCUCAUGUUGAAAUGCGGAGCUAUUGGGACAGGCUGAGAAGAUUUAGUGCUGAAUGUCUCUUUAUGUCUGAUACAUACAUAACGUUUUCUUUUGCAGAAGACAAAGGAUAAUCUGAGGCAUUUAUAUCUUAUUUCCCUUAAAUCUCAUGGUAUUUGAUACAACAAUACCCACUCAUUUAUCUGCAAAUUUAUACCCUGGAAUUUUUAGAUUGUAGAUGGCACAUGCAUGAUCUUAUAAAAUUGUCCUAAUGCUACUGAAAUAUGUUAUCUCUUAAGUUCAUACCUGUUCUUCAUGCUGAGAAUUCUGUUCUAAUGCAUUUUACCUUCUAUAGGGAUUUUUGCUCGCUUCACUUUAUGUACUCGCUUUUCUCGUACUCUAAUCCUGUGUGUCUCUGUUUUUCUACUGGUUUACUUAAAUUAUAAGAGAUAAGUCCUCCAAGAUAUAUAAAUCUUUGCUAGAGUCUUGGAACACUAAAAAGAAAGAAAAAGAAAACUUUGAAGAACUUCUUUAGACUUCAUUAUAACGCUUUCAAUUUUGAAAACAUCAUUUAGGUUCUGAUAUCCUGCUUUACAUAGGGAUUGAUGCUGAGAGAACCUAAACAUAGGAGAUCAUACUUGUGCAGCUUCUUUCCUACAGCUUCUCUGUUGUUUCUGGCAGUCUUAGUCGGAAGUAUAUAUACGGCGCUCCAAUACAAAGAGGUUUCCGUUAUGCAUUCUGUAUUCAAUCUAUUAUUUGGUAUCUGGUAUAUUAGCUUUCCAGGAAUAUUUUUAAUUCAUUUGGAUGAAAGUCUUAUGUUUGGAAGAUGAACUUGAAAUCUUGUAUAAGCAGAUAACUUAGAUAUCUUUUCUGCAGAAAAUUUUGAAUUGGAAGUUGGAGGAAAAUCUUCUGCGUACAUGUGAGGUUUGUUUUUCUUUGUUUGAAAUGUGAGCAAAUUUUAGCAUUCAGGUGGUAAUUUCUGCAAUUUCAGGUUGUAAUUUGUUUCAUAUGCUUUAGAACCACUGUAGGCCUCCUGGAAGUAAGCCAUUGCCCAAAGGUAUUGUUGCCAAGACUUCUAACCUGGAAAGAAGACCAUUAUGGGGUUUGCCAAAGGUAUGGUACAAUCAUAGACGAAUCCUAAUCCAAACCCUUGACUUUUAGAAACUAGAGUUCCAAUUUUUGCUUGGAUAAUAUCAUUGCCUACUACACAGCCUCUUUUUUAACAAUGGAUUAUUAUCUAAUGGUUGAUCAACGAACCCUGAAGUAUGUUCGUUACCAGGAAUUAAUAGAUUUAGCUAUCAAAUAUGCAAUGCAACUCUCCUUUUUCUUUUCUGUCCGUGAUGUUUCAUUCAUUUGAAGCUAAAAGAAAAGGUGGACUGACCUGAAUAGUGUCAAUACAGACACUAAUAACUGCCAGAUGGGAGUAAACGAGGACAGUUGAUCUCAAAAAUGGUCAUCAAUGGGUUAAGGGGCCAGUAUGAAAUGGCUUAUUUUGAAGAGUAGUACAUUUUGGAUUCAAAGUGAGCAGAAGAAUUUUUUGGAUAACAAUGCUUAGUUCCACAAAAUCUUUGGAAGCGGCUGACUAAAUAAGCUGUAACCAUUAUGGAUUCUGGUCCACUUCAUGGUUUUUAGUGUUAUAUGCUAAUUCAUGAAGCUAUCAUUUUGAAGUGCUUGGUUUUUGCAUGUACCAAAGUCUUCAGAUAUUGCCAGAAUCUGCACUUCCCUCUUGUUAGGAGUGUUAAAGAAUUAUUAUGUCUAAUUACCAGAUGAGAAUAUAGCUGUCAAUGUAACCUUGUUGAACUUGUCAUUGUAUAAGUACUUGAUUGCUAUCCUAAUUGGGUAUCUAAGCAUCCCAUUCUACACCCUUGCCUUUGGCUUUGAUGGAAGACAUGUCUCUACAAUUUUGGUGCCACUUAGUAAAAAACUGGACUAACUCCAUGAAGCUAUAUGGCAUUUCCUUUUUGGACGAGCUGUAGCGGUUCUUAAUCCAUUUCAUUAUCACUUUUCAUUGUUACCAAAACUCAUCCAGUGUUUUUUCCGUUUUAUUUGCUUUACCUUUUAAUCCUUUUCUUUUUUCUAAUAGUGCACCUCGUCAUUUAGUCUUAACAUUGAGGACUUUCGUCCCUUCAUUUCAAUCCAAGAAUGGGAUGUGUUGUUCAUGACUUUAUUUUGCGAGUCGAUAAGGAUCAUUCCAGUAACUGUAACUCAUUAAGUUAGAAAAGCAAAGAGUUUCCAGCACUUCCUGGCUUGGAUCCGAUCAGAAAACUUGAGUUAAAUCUGGAGUGCAGCAUAAAUUUUCUUUUCUUUCUUUGACAAGUAUGCCAAGAGAUCAUGAACUUUAUGUUUUUCCAAACAGAAAUCGAACUCUUCAAGGAGCUUGUUCGCUAUGGCUGUUGGGUUAAAACAAAAAGAAGCAGUAGAUCAGAUGGUCAGAAAGGUGAAAGCUUAAAGUUCUAGGCUUUAUCUUAUGGCCAUUUAUCCAACUUCUAACAAUCAUAAAUGAUUUAAUUCCCUUUGCAGUUUCUGUCGAGUAAUUUUGUUGUGAUGCUUUUUCAUUAUGAUGGUGUCGUGGAUGGAUGGAAGGAUUUAGAGUGGUCUGAAAGUGUGAUACAUGUAUCUGCUUUGCAUCAAACAAAAUGGUAUGUUGUCAAUAAUAACCUUCAAAUUUGGUACUUCAACUGCUUUCAAUUUUAGAAGCUAGAUGUACUUGAGCUUAUAUUUUCAACUCAUGCUUCAAGUAGGUGCUGCGUAACUUGCAAAAUCUUCUGGUAACUCCUUAACAUUCCGGUGCAUGGUUUUAACCAGGUGGUUCGCUAAACGAUUUCUACAUCCAGAUAUAAUUGCAGAAUAUGAUUACGUUUUCCUAUGGGAUGAAGACCUUGGAGUAGAAAACUUCAACCCUGAGCGGUACGUCAAAGCUCCUACUUUGACAACCUAGGAAAGCACCACGAAAAUGGAGGGGAAGAUUAGAACUAGGAAAACACAUAUCUAUACUCAUGAAACAGUUCAGUUCUAUUCAUGCUUCGUUUAUUUGUUGAACUGUUCUGUCAAUUUGGUUGUGACUUCAUCAUUUGUUGGGAAACAGUUUUUACUCAAUCAGAAAAUCAUCACGAUCAUUGCUCAUAGGGCUUAAAAGAACUCUGCUGUAUACUCUCAUGUUGGUGCCAUAUGCACAACAGUUUUACAUUUUUUCCAGUCUGCAAUGUACCAAUUACUUCAUCAAAUGUAGUGUUAGUUAUAUAACAAGUUUUAAUCUGUGCAGAUAUCUAUCAAUUGUGAAGGAUGAAGGACUUGAGAUAUCACAGCCAGCACUUGAUAUUGGGCAAUCAGAGGUGCAUCAUCAAAUUACUGCACGUGGGAGAAAAUCGAAUGUGCACAGGUUUCUUCUGUUCCUGUGUUUAAUGGUCUUCCUUUUUCAGUUUUUAACUUGUAUUAGACACAGAGGCAAUACUUCGAUCUGUUGUACCCAAUAUACACAAAAUAAUUCUAGGUGAACUUCUCCUACACUGUAAGUUGUUCUUCGCUAACAUGCAUCUGCUGGAUCCUAUACACAUACAAUACAUCUGAUUUUCUCAAGCUUUAGGGAUGAAAUAUGAAUAUUCCAAAAUGUAACUUCAACUUUCUUUCUCUUUUCUCAUUUUGCUCCUAAAAUGGUGUUUGAGUAAUCCAUAAAAUGAUUUACAGUUGAUUGGCUCCACUUUUUCAGGUUUCUCAACCUCAAUGUAUUUUUGUCGCAUGUCUUGAACAGGAGACCACUAUUAGUUGGCUUGGGAACUACUCUGUAAACUAGACUGCUAUUGACGUUAUUUCCCCUCAAAACUGAAAUUUCAACCAUGGAUUUAUCAGCUAUGUCCUAGAUUUCUUUACUUUGCUACACGUAAUCUGACUUAUUUCUUUAAAUUAUCCUGCUAUGUGACAGGAGGACAUACAAGCCUGGUGGGAAGGGAAUUGGAUGUGAUGGAAAUAGUACGGCUCCUCCUUGUACAGGGUAGAUAUUUACUUGAACUUGCAUCAUUGCACAGCCAUGCAUAAGAUGUGCUUAUGCAGUAGAAAAACAUCGAGUGUUCGACUUCAUUGAAAUGAUCUUCAUGUUGUGCUACCAAAGUUCUCUGAAAUUUGCCGUCUAAUAUAUUGUGGUUCAUUUUGGAAUUGAUUUGAAGAAUUAGGGAAUCUGUAUGUGUUUUACAGGUGGAUAGAAGUAAUGGCUCCAGUUUUUUCAAGAGCAGCCUGGCGCUGUGUAUGGUAUUUGAUCCAGGUUCGUCAUUGCCAUUUGGAUUGGUCGUGUUAAUUGUUUUAAUUAGCACAUUGUGAUUGUUCUUAAAGGAUAAGAUUGCUUUUGCCAAUGCAAUAAGGCACAAGAGAAAUUCAUAGGCAUGGUGCUCAUAUAGAAUAUAUGAAACAAUUUGUGAUCACUUAAAAUUUGCAACUUAGAGUGGAUCUGUUUUUUACCUGAUUACUCUGUUAAACAUGGCUUGAAAUCAUGCGAUCAUUCGAAUUGUUAGGAAUUCUGGGUGUGGUAUUGUAGCAGUAAUUUAAGUACUGCUGAUUCUCUUGUAUGUUCAUAACCUGCAAUAUCACAAAGAGCAAACGAUAAAGGUGGGGAAUAAGUAAAAGAUGCAAUAACUGAUCCUUAGAAGCGUUAAAACAAUACCAAUAUUUCGAUUCUCUUCCUUUCACAUCACAGCUUUAAGAUUUUAAUAGCAUAUGAACUGUGCUAAUUUGCAUAGAAUCUCAUUUUUAACAGUUUCUUUCUGAUAUUCCUCACAGAAUGAUUUGAUCCAUGCGUGGGGCUUAGAUAUGCAUCUUGGCUACUGUGCACAGGCAAGCUAUCGAUAUUUCUUUUGCAUCUCUCUCUCUCUCUCUCUCUCUCUCAUGCCCUUGUAACAUUCCUUUCAAAAGGGAGAUCGAACUCAAAAUAUUGGUGUGGUUGAUGCUGAAUACAUUGUCCAUUAUGGCCUCCCAACGCUCGGAGAGCAUGAGAAAAAGGUACCCUUUUAUGUCAUUCUUGUUGCUGAAGCAUACUAAUGCAGGAAUUGAUGCAUAUGUCAAUCUUCUUUCAUCUGCUACACUUUCUCCCCUCGCUAGCAGAAGGGAAAGAACAAUGUGUAGGUAUUUGAUGGGAAAAGAAAAAAGGAACAAAAAAUGAAUGAGAGAACUUGGAAGGGAGUCCAAAGGAAGAGAUGCGCUCAGAUGGAUUAAAGACCUAUACUCUGAUAUAAUUAAAAUUUCUUAAUCAAAUUUCAUCAACAAACAAUUCUUUUUUUUCUUCCUUAUUCUUCUAUAAACCUAUCCAAAGAGAGGUGCAUAAUUUAUUGUAUGGCAAAACUAGAGUGCCACCUCUCUGUGGCAUAUGCCUUGGUUUUUCCAGAGUUCCAAGUGCAGGUUAUACUCUUCUGGUUUGAGUACAUUUGCAAACAGAGGCAAUUGCAAAUUUUUGCAUAGACAAUCCUCCCUCUAUGAACACUACCAUUAGCACCAAAACCUAAAAUGCACCAAGAAAGACCUAAGAUAUGCAUAUAAUGGCUUUAUGAGCUUUUUACCAUGUUACUGGGAACCUCGAUGAAGAGUACUCCCCUCCUUUUUUUCUGUCUAAAAAUAAAUUUGUACAAUAACAUGCAAUUCCCAGCAAUACCGCAACAUAUUGGUUUUGGCUACGAGAUAACAACGUAACUUUGGCGGGAAGAAGAAAAGGCAUGCAGGGAAUCAAUCCAGAUUAUCUGUCGCAGAAAGAGUGCAAGAGAAUCAAGUUUUGAAAGUUGGUGAAGCUACUUGGUGUGUAGCCACAUCUAAAGAAUGAAUACCCUCAAAGAAAGAAAUGAUGUAGCAUGUAUUCUCAUUCUUUGUCCAACAGAAUAUGCCUUUUCACAAUAAUUUUUGUUGACAGUGCUGUUGCAAAGAAGAAUAUGCUGUUGGUUUUUCUGCUCUAGAUGUCACUAAUCUUUUGUUAUCACUAAUAUUCGUUACAUGUCAUGGUUUUAUGUUUCACAUACUAAUUUGUGAUCAUUGUGCAGACAAAUACUUCUGAAUCCAAAAACUUGACCGAUUCGGAAACACAUGUAAUCAUCUUGAAUCUAUAGUGCUUGUUUGUGGUCAUAAUAUACUGAAUUUUGGCCCCAGUUUGAAUGUCUAUUGCUUAUGGAUUGCAGGUAGAGAGCCCGUCUAACCCAAUCAACUCCAGAGUUGAAGUAAGUUCAAAAUAAGCUUUUUCAUACAAAUUGUCUACGCUUUUCCUGUGUGUGUGUGUGUGUGUAUAUAUAUUGUCAAAUAACACUUUUCGUUUACUUUAUCUGAGAAGUUUUCUCACUGAUUGCUUCUAGUUUCUGCAUAGUGCAUGCUGAUCCAUUAGAAGCAUUGCAGUAUAUCUAGUCAUUUCUGCAUUGUCGGUUCUUUGGAUCGGUAUGCAAACGCAAUUUCAUAUUCAUCUACUAAUAAAUGAAAACGGGGAUAAGUUUAAAGCAAACAAAGUAAAUCCCACGUUGGCCAUCAACAGGUAAAGUUGAUCAAAAGAAGUAUCACAUUUUGACAGAUUUAACUAACAAAUGCAGCAAAAAUAGCAUCAACAGGAGGAGGAUUAACUGAUGCAUCUCUACUCAACUAGUAUAGAAUAAAUUUUUACACCUUGGCGGGCAGUAAACUUUGAACUAUAAAAGGUUAUUCUGCUUCGGAUUACUGGAUAUUUUUAUCCCUUUUCAGGUAAGAAGACAGUCGUUUAACGAGUACAAGAUAUUCAGAAGGCGAUGGAAGAAAGCUGUUGAGGAGGAUCGGUGUUGGACUGAUCCAUACACAGAGCCAAUAAAGGAGAUCACCAUCUAAAUGGAGUCUUCUUUCUUUUCUUUUUUUUUUCUUUGGGAGGGUGUGUUCUUCCAAGGUUGUAUUCAUUGAUGUCAUUUCGGCCAGUUGAAACCAAGCUUAUCCACAACAGGCCAUAGGACUCCCCUCUUUAGUUUUAAGUCUUGCCAUUGGAUAGUAGACUUCAACAUUUGAAGAAACUAGAGACAGGUACAGAGACUAGAGUCAGGAAACAUGCAGGUUGGACACCUUCUAUCUAUACAAGAGAAAAAACAAGAAAAAGAUAGCGAGAAAAGCCAUAGUAUAUAUUGUAUAGUCUAUGGUUAAGAGCAAAUAAUUUUAGAUUGAACCAUUAAAUUUCUUGAUUUUCCUUCCCAGUUUUUCCUUUUCGCACACAAUCUGUAAUAUAAUUGUAAAGGAACUCUGAUAUCGUCAAAGUAAAGUUAACAUGAAUUUAUUCACCUACAUUAACUUGAAAUGUAUUACUCUCUCUCUCUCUCUUUGUUCUUAUUGCAUUGAUGCAAAUGUAAUCUUACUUAAUCCAGAACACGCAAAAGCUUUCCGGGCAGAGACUUUUGACCUUUGUGAGUUCACGGUUCAUAACUACAUCUAAUUAUUGCAGCAACCAAAGCUACAAGUUGCUCAGAGAUUCUUGAAUGUACAGUUGGUAUCAACUGCUAGACGCUUUUGUUGCCCAUUAAGUUGGCAUAAAAUGAUGUUUCAUGCCCAUCCCGAGGCUGCAGCAAGUACUGGAACCAGGACGACAAGGGAAACUAACUCGGCACUGUUUCUUAAAUUCCUCUUGAAUUUGCAGCUCGUGACUUUUUAAGCCCACAAGUUAUCAGUUUUUGAUUUGUGAAAGGCAGGUUUUCCCCUUCCAGCUCUGUUUCUUGUUGAUAACAAAAGGAGCAUUAAUUAAAUCCCAUCGUUUUCCACCAUGAUCAGACAGCUUCAACAGCAAAAGGAACAUUAUUAAAUCCAAUCAUUUUCAACCACAAUCUCAGGGCUUCAUCCCGAGUUCACUUUUGUAAAGGGAAAAACUUUUGGGUGAACCUAAUCUGAUCUAUAACCUCACUUAUGCAUCCUGUGUAUGUUUAAGUGCCAAAAUCAUGAAUGUGAUCACCAUGUCUAUGUAAACAAAUUGCUUUCCUUCGUCACAUGUUCUGAAUCCAUUUGGUAUUCCUUUCUUCUUGGGGUUGAUCUUGAAAUUUCGCAGUCAAAAAAACCGUAGUUUGAGCUUUUGUUGAAGUAAAACUAUGAUCUCUUUUAAGUUUCAUAGCGUGAUAGAUUGAUUACAUAAAUGCUAAUAUUAAAUAAACUUGCAAAAUGUUCUUGAAGAAGAGACCAUUGAAAUCAUCAUAUAAAAAUGACAUAGCACAAAAUGAAUCGAAAAAGUUGACAACCAAAGCCAUGUUGUAUGUGUAAACACCAGAAAAGAUGCACACACAGUUGUGCCACAACUAGGCUAUCACAACAGAAGUGUAAUGUCUUUCUUUGGAUUUCAGACUUUUCCUUUUCAAUUGAAUCUAGUGGUCAAUGUGCAGAUUAAAAAUAUACUAGCUUUGGGCACUAAGGGACGGAUUAUCCCUUGCAAAGUCACUUAACAUCCAGCACUUACAUAUAGAAUUGGAUGCAAAAAUCUUAGUUGAUAUGCUGCUUGCUAAUAACUGUGAGUCUCACUAUGCCUCCCCUCUUCUCUCUGAUUGCAGGACCAUUUUGGAGAGCUUCCAAACUUGUACCGUUAGACAUGUCUUCCGUGAAGCUAACAGAUGCGCGGAACUUUUGGCAAAAUUGGGCACCGAAUAUUGCGAAGAAUUUGUUUUGUACCCCAGUUCCCCCGUGCCCUUAAUUAGUCUUUUGAAUGCUGAUUGUAGGGGUCUUUUCUUGCCCCGUCUUGUAAACGUUUAAGCUUUAUUUAUUAUAUAUCCCUUUUCCUACCAAAAUAUAUAUCUAUACUAGCUCAAAACUUAACAUCAAGGGGCAAAAAGUGAAAAAGAAAAGGAGCUCGUAAGGUAGUAAAUUGGAGUCCCAAGAGAGAAGUCUACAACUUUAUACCAUCUGCAGUAAUAGCACCAUUGAUCAGUUGGUCUAGCUUGGAAUAGAAAAGGUAGUCUUGCCAAUAUCUUUUUACCAUCAAUAUAGAAGAGUUUCAACAAGACUUCACAAGUUUCCUUGUCAUCUGAAAAGACCGAAGGAAUGAUGGGACAAAGAAAAGUAGACACAGAGAUUAUCAUGAAAAGAGAGAGAAACUUGGCUUCAAUCACGUUUAAGCAUGGCCAGCAAGUCUUUUUUACAAGCCAAACUUGAGCUUGAUCUCAAACUUAUCAAUCCUUGUACUAUCUAUCUUCUAACUGCAGAUUUAGUUGUAGAAUUCUCAAGAAUUCUUGAUGCCAAGAUACAAUGGAAGAUCAUCCACUCACUCUUAAGAGAUAGCUUAGAACAAGAAGUACUCGAUCAACAUGGGAUUUUUUUUUUUAAGUACUAUAUUCUAAGUAAAAAAUGAGCUCAAGCUGAGUCUAUGUUAUUGGACAAUAGAAGGAUUGAGAGUACCAAAUGUUGUACCCCUUUUCUGAUCACAAAGUGUUGAAAGUUGUCAAGCAUCAUCUUUGGGACUACUAAGUAAACAGGAAGCACAUGGGGUGUUGGAUAUUAUAUACAUCAUUCCAGCAGGAGAUCACACGCUUAGAUUCUCCACGCACUCUGCUCAACACAUCAACUUCAGAUUUGGUUGUUUAGCCAAAGUAUGCGUCCAGUCCAGUUAUCUAAUCUAACAUGUAAAGCAUGCACAUAUUCACUACAGACACAAAAUGCAUAAUGCAAACCAUUGACUUCAAGCCUUUCCAAGAAGAAAAUUCAAUUUCAAUGGGCUAAACUGAGAAAGACAGGAGGAAGAAUACACAGAGUCAUAGUCUUCAUCUCACAUCAUCUCUAACUAAAAGACAAUCUAAAGAAACAUAAACAAGAAAUAGAUAAUCAAGACACCACCACCCAAAUACCAAAUCAUUCUAGCCUUAAAAGUCAAGAAAAUGCACCUAGAUGAAUAACUAGCAGCAUGUUUUGCAAGUAAACAUAAUGAAUCAUCUGUCUGUCCAUAGUUUUGCUCAUGUCCUUUGUUUGGAAUUUGUAGGUAGGCAAGCCAUUGAUGAUGUGAUUUUCCACUACAAAAAACAAGAUUAUUAUUGCAGUAAAUGGUAGCUGCCUUUGAUCGACCCGGGCAACUGCCACCAACCUAAGAGUUAGGAAUUAGGUUUGUUCACACUUUGCAUGCAUUUUUAGCAAAUCAUUUUCUCCUCCAUAGUAAAAUAAAAAAUCCUCAAAGUGCCCCUCUCACCCACUUAAGGUAGCUCUAGCUACAGCAACCUUAUUAAUAACUAGUCAACAAAUUUAACAAAUAUAGCAGCACAUUGUCUUGAUCAUGAAUCUAUAGAAGUUCAACAAGAUAGUGCCAUUUUCCUGAUGACAUACUUCCACUUUCUUAACAAACAUAUCACCAUUUGCCCUUUUCUGGGCUGCAUUGACCAAAUAACGGUAGGUAACAAGGGAAUAUAUUAGGAACACAGAUGGAACACACAGUCUACGUCGUUGAAAUCUAUAUGUUACUGCCAGUAUUAAGCAACUGAAGAAAAAUAAUUAAUGCCCAAAGAUUCAAAUAACAAUAAUCAUAUCUAAAUCUGACAAACCAUUAGGUGUCAUAAGAUAGACAUAUGUUCUAAAAACAAUAUAAAAAUUCUAAAAUUGACAGGACCAUCAUCAUUAAUAUGUACUAACAUUUUGGCCCACUAGCUUCACUUGGAGAGGCAAAACUUUCCUCUCCCACACUCAAUGUACCAUAAGUACCAAUCUACAGGACUACAACUGACUACAGUGCUUCUCCCAGCCAAGUGUUU